rnacentral:lncRNA from 1 species
GUCUAUGCUCUGACUGAACAUCAUGAAGGAAAAGGAGAAGAAGGAGAAGAGGAAGAGGAAGAGGAAGAGGAAGGGUAAGGAAGAGAAUUCAAAUCUGUCUCUUCUUUCCUUGAGAGGUUAGAAGAAGAAGAAGAAGAAGAAGAAGCUAUAAACAGGCAAGUCAUAGAGGCAAAAGGGAAGGCCCAAGCCUUUCUUCCAGUGGUGUUUUUUUGGGGGGGUUUCCUUGUUGGUUGUUUCAAACCGUCUUCCGUGUGUUGUUGUCGUCGUUGUCCGUCUCUAUCUGUUUGUAAGUUGAUUAAAAAUAAGAUUAAAGAGUGUUGUCAGUCUCAGACUGGGUUAGUGGGAAAAGGGUGUCUUUGUGUUUUAUCUGAAACGGGCAAGUUUGACUGCUUCCUUUCCUUUGUUUUUCUUUUGCCCUUUGUUUGUAUCAGCACAGCACAGCAGAGACAGAGUCUAUUAAAAGCUUUACCUCCCUUCUUUUAUUAUCAUAUCUGUUAUAAACUUGCUCUUGCCCAAGGCUUCAAGCUGAUCUACUGAUUCACCCGUCAUUUAUUUGAAAUACUACUUAAUAAGUAAGUCUCACUUGUCUUAUCCAUCCUAGCACUUCUCACUUAUCAAUGAUUCCUCUUACAGGCGAUCCAAUUGAAGAGUUGUGUUUCGACUUCAGUUCAUCCACCGAACGAAGCUGCCGAUUUAGCAGCACGAUUUUACUGCUUUCCAUCCGAGCGUCUCCUUACAGAACUAUCCCGAGUACAACACGCGAUCGAAGAUUGGAGAAACAAUGAUCCAGCAGAACUUGCUUUAAUCAAAGAUUGGAGAAACAAUGGUGUGUUUUAAAUUGAUUAAAGUAUGGGGUGAUCCAGCAGAACUUGCUAUUAGAUCAGCCUCAACAAAACAUGGGACAUCAACAACUCUUCAUCUAACAAAACUCUAUGUCCCUUCUUUCAAAACCAGACACUUCUAUUACGCAGCAGCUACUUUCACUAAUCAUAAUCAUAAUAAUACCUAUUUAUUAAUCUCCGUCAUCGUCGUCAUCGCCAACGAUUUCUGGGACUAACUACUCACUCAAGAUGUAGAUGUUUCUUCAUAGCUUCAUAAACCAUAUACGUUAUACUUGCUGCUGGUACCACCUUUAGCAGAUUUGGAAACAGUCCUUUGUAGAACCCUCUGUAUCCUUCUUUCUCAAGUGUUCUCAAGAACACAUCAGACAUCCCCUUGUAUGGAGCUGCAGCAUUUGCUUGUUGAGCUUGCAUUCUGUCAAACAAUUCCAUUAAAACCAACAGUGAAGGUGCAAGCUAUCGCCUUUGUUAUGAUCAAAGUAUAUACCUGGUUCGAAUGACCUGCAAAGGGUAGACACAGGUUGCUCCGGCUGCUCCUGAGAUUGUGCCACAACCUAGUUGCACAAGAGGGCCAGCUUCUGAAACGCCAAAGAAGCUUUUACGUUAGCAAAUCGAAUCGAAGACUCGCUAAGAGAUUGAAAAGACAGGGUCAAUGAAAGGAGAAGAAGUACACACCACUAUCAUUCAGAAGAUAUGUCUUGGACAUUUCCUUUAAGGUCUCAUAAGCAGCAAGAUCAAUGCCAGCAUAAGGAAUAAUACCAAUAAGGGAGGGCACAAGACCCUUAUAAAAGGCUCGAGGCCCUUCGUGCACCCAUAUGUCCCUAGUUAGGGUCCCCAAUUUUGGUGCCUUUCCACCUUCACAUGCAUGGGUCUGUAAUCGAGUUUUCACGAGAUCCAUUGGAUAGACAGCAGUUUGCGCUACUGCACCGGCCAUUCCGCCAGCCAAAAGUCUACCAGAUGUACCGAUAUCGGCGUCCUCUUCCCCUUUCAAAUCUUUAAUGACAUUUUUCAACAUCUCAUACGCAUAAAACUUAAUAGCACUUUCGGGAGCAACCUUUACCACGUUCAGCCCGUUACCACGGAAAAACCCGAGCAAACCAUCGGCCUUCCAUAUCUUCUUUACAGCAGGUACAAUAGAGGCACGAGUGGUCUGAACUUGCAAAACAACCUUGAGGCGGUCAAGAGGAGCAGUUGCGGUACGUGAAGUUGCACCAGCAAUUCCUCCUGCAAUAAAAUAUUUACUCCUGUGAACCUGUUUGCUGAUGCCUUCAGGAAUAACAGCGUGUUCUCCAAUAUCUACGAGACACAUUCUUUCCCAAUAAUGAUAUAUGUUCUCGAUGGUAGCUUCGUGUGGAUACAGCAAAAGAAAAUCUCUCCAUUCCUCGAAGGUUAUGAUCCCAUCGUUGUCUUUAUCGACAUGCUCUACAAAACGGGCAAGCUCCUCAUCAUCAAUUUGAAUACCUGCAAAACAGAAGCUGCCGUGGCUUAUAAGAUGAACACAACGGGCAAGAGUCACUUUGUGGAAAAUGCUUACAAUAAUGAAGAACAUAAAGACUAAUAAGUAGGUCGAUCAAAGUUACACAACAGCAAACAUAAUAAGAAUGGAUUUCUAUGUAAAAAGAUUACUGAAUGUAGAAAAUUGAACGAGCACUCUUACCGGUGCUGGCACAAUGUAGAACAAAAUUUGAUUUUUUUUAUGAGGAUAACUAAUCUGAAUGCAGUUCAAGGGGCUUUGCGGAUUGGUAAGCCUUGGCCCUCUAAACACCCAACUAGUCCAAAGAGCGAUUGAUUUGAAGAACAUACUUGGUUGGUGACCCACAUGGGGAUAUUCUCCAAAUGGUUGUUUCUGGAUCAAAACUUGGAACAUUCCUAACUCAAGUCCCAAUCCUUUACUAAAAAGCUCAGGUCAGCCCACGUAGAGUUCAAUAUAACACAGAACUAUCCGUCUCUGAACAGAAAAACGUCCUUAUUUGUUCUCAAUUCACUGACAGAUGAAAACUGGAAAGGGCGAAAUUAGAUUAACCAAAAUAAGAAUAAUAAACAGUUCCAAAAAGAAUCACAUAUGAGCAAGGCGUGUUUUCAGAAAAGACUUCCUAGCUCUUAGUUCUUCCGCCACAUAUCAUAAACCAAAAUCUUAUUAGAUGCUAGUGUUCAAAAUAUCAAUUUUUCUGACGAUAGAGAUUCACAGUUAAUCUAAUUAUCCGACAUAUCAACACUACAAAUGCCAGUUCCAGACGUUGGAACGGGGACCAUAUACGUAGUAAGCACAAAUCAAAACACCAUUAAGAACUUACCCAAGCCAACUAUAACCAAUCAUUAAGAAUUGCACCACUUAAAGCCAGAAGCAAACCUGUAGGAACUUGCAAUCUCUACAUGCACCAGACUUAGCAAAUUCACAUCCCACAUCAUCACUGCAAUUUCCGAUUUCCAACUUGUACCUUCUCUAAAUUCCACCAUUUUAUUGACAAGUGCAAGAGCAAGAGAUACCGUGAAACACACAGAAACGUGCAAACUGAGCAUACAUCCUAGCUUAUCACCUUCAUUUCUAACUUUGAACUUCCCCUUCUACAAAUUCCCGCAAUGGUAGUCGCCUUGAGCAACAAAAGCACAUUGCUCAAUUAUCUCGGCAAUGGGCGUCUAGACAGUAAAACACUACUCUUUUCUAAAAGUAAGACCCGAAGCCUAGACAAGGUUCCAGUAAAGGAAGAAUUCAUUGAUCGCAAUGAGUUUACAUAACAUGAUGCGAAUGGUAUCAGCAAGAAAAAGAGAGGAGUUGGGGUCAGUACCAGCGGUAACAAGGGCAUCCCAGAGCUCCUCGGGCAAAAUGCAGCCGCUGUGUUCAACAUCAAUAGCCUGGAAAAUCCUGUACAGCUCCAGCUCUUUAGCAUCCAUGUAUCUCUUGAACUCCACGUAAUCAACCCUCCCAUCUUUGUUAGCGUCACACACCUUCAACAAAUCCUUGGCAUACUUAUACUCGGGCGGAAUCUGAAGCGCGGACAGACCGGUCUCAAUCUGGACGUAAUCCAAGUAGCCAGAAUUGGCCAGAUCAAAGAAAUUGAACAAGCUCCUAAUCCUGACAUCCCUCUCUUCCUUGGUCUCCCUGAGCGCCAGCAGAACGUGGUCCAUGGUCACCCCCGCAGCCGCCGCCUUCUUGAUUGCUUUAUUCACAUCCAUCUUAGGCAUCCCCUGCUGGCGUUCGACGGCGUGAGACAUCUGGGGAAAAGAAAUAUGCGAUAACCAACCCCUCCAAUCAGAAAUUGAUUGUGUAACCUAACUCCUAACGGCGACUUGGCAUCGAGGUAAUGCGCAAGAAGAUGGAGAGAGAUUUACCCCAGAGAGAUAACGAAAAAAGCCCGGGGGAAGGCUGCCACGUGGAAUGAAUGAGGGGGGAGAUGGACGGUGGUGGUAGGCAAUUCAGCGGCGAUCGUCGUCCAUGUGUUUGUUAAAAUGCGUGUGAUAUUGUAUUGUACAGAGAAAUGAGAUGGGGAGCUGGGACUGGGGAGGCCGGAGGAAGGAGGUAACUGUGUGCGUUAUCCUGCGAUUGGAAUGGAACCCAAUUCUCCAUUCACCAUUAUUAUUAUUUCAAUAAAAAUAUAUUUAUUAAUAUUUUGUUCGCUGUGGACCGUGUGUUCAUCUACAACGGGGCAAAAGAGAGAAAUUUUAAAGAAACUCAUCGAAAUUCUAAAGAAUGCUUGUGGAUUUUAUAUUUCUAGAGGUCUAGAUUAAUUAAUUUCGGAUGUGAGACCGACGGUUCUCUUCAAACACGAUAUGUCAUGUUUCUAUAUGUUUUGUUGUGAUUUAUCAUAGAUAGUAUGCAUUAAUUAUCAUUUAGUUAUUGCACGAAUGUUAAGUUAAGUAUAUAUUAUAUAGUUUUGAUUAGUUGAAUUUGAAGAAUAAUAAUGCAUUUUAUCAAUUCGUACCUUGCAUCCUUGUAUUUUGAAGAGGAAGGAUUUUUCUUCUGGGACACAAAACGAGAAAGUAGGUAGACAUAACUAAAUUUAGGCACUCGUUUGCCACUUGUUGAUGGGUUGUUUUUCAACCCCUUUUCAUUGAUUUCUGAAGCAUCAAAACCAUUCCGCAUCUUCCUCUUCAUCAAUCAUCCUUCGGUCAAGAAGAAGAAUCGCUUCGAAAACAAAAUAGAAAACAGGCAUAGAGAUGGAAACACCAAAAGGAAGAGAGAAUCCCAAAUUUUCAAAAGGACAAAUGAGAAGUAAAGAGCAAUCCAAAGAACGCAAAGAGAAGAGGCGUCAAGAGAUUUCUCUCCUCCGAACCAUUCCUUAUUCCGAUCACCAAAGGUACCUAGAUUUCUAUAAGUUAUGUGCAUAUAUUAACAAUUUCAUGAAUCACAAUAUUGUAUUACUAUUGGUUAGAUGGUGGUCUGUGGAGACAGUUGCCAUGGUGACAGGCGCCAACAGAGGGAUAGGGUUUGAGAUAGUGAGACAACUUGCGGGACAAGGCAUCACAGUAAUACUAACUUCGAGAGAAGAGAGCGCUGGAGUGGAAGCGGCUAGCGUGCUGCAAGAAUUAGGCCUCAGUGUGGCGUUUCACCAGCUCGAUGUUCUGGACAAUUCGUCGAUUCAGGAAUUCUGCGAGUGGCUAACAAUUCAUUAUGGUGGCAUAGACAUUCUGGUUAACAAUGCAGGGGUUAACUUCAACAUGGGGUCCGAGAAUUCGGUGGAAUCCGCUCGGAUGGUCAUAGAUACUAAUUAUUAUGCACUGAAGAAUGUAACCAAGACUAUGAUCCCUCUGAUUAGAUCAUCUCAAGCUGGUGGCCGUGUUGUUAACGUCAGCUCACGGCUCGGCAGGGUCAACGGGAAACGGAAUGUAAGUUUAAUUUGCAAAACAUCUUGGAAACUCCUUGGUUCGAAUGUAGUUAAAUUUUCAAUUUUGAUCUUAAAAUUUUACGAUUUUAUUGAUAAUGAAAUGUGCAGAGGAUCGAGAACGAGGACAUAAGGGAACAACUAAACGACAUGGAGAAACUGUCGGAGGAACUGAUAGACAGGACCAUGUCCAAAUUCCUAGAGCAGGUAGAAGACGGGAGCUGGGAAUCAGGAGGGUGGCCUCACGCAAACACCGAUUACUCCGUUUCGAAACUCGGGGUGAAUUGCUUCACCAGGCUUCUAGCUAAGCAGCUCAGCGAUCGACCAGAAGGCGAGAAGAUCUACGUGAACUGCUACUGCCCUGGGUGGGUGAAAACUGCAAUGACUGGGUGGGCUGGUACCAUAUCGGCAGAGGACGGUGCCGAUACCGGAGUUUGGCUCGCCCUCCUUCCUGAUCAGGCUAUCACCGGUAAGUUCUUCGCCGAGAGACGUGAGAUCGGCUUCUGAUGUCGGUGUUUUUCUUGUUGCUUUCUUAUUGUACGUGUGUCUUGCUUAACUAGCUAACUGCAUUCUUUGUCUUGUCUAAUUUCUUGGUUGCGAUUGAUUAAUUAAUUUAGUUGGUGUAUACGUACAAUUGUACUUCAUUUUGUUUUCUUUGAUUUCAGUCAUUGUUUAACUGAAUAGAUAUCAAGUUAUACGUACAAUAAAGAUGUUGUAUGCUGGUGAGUCCAAGGGUAAUGUAAGUGUAGAAAAAAGCAACCCGGCUACGGUUUCGAGAGAUGAUCUCGACAGACUGUGGGCCGAUGGAUUAGGUCACUUUUAGAUCAACGUUCAUCCAACAUUUGAAAAUGAGUCAAACGAAUUGAUUUUAGCGGGGCAUGAAUGUGGUCAUUGUACAAGUAUGUUAUGCCGCUAAUACGACUAUUUUACGGGCUUGUAAUGUUGUUGUUACGUCCACCUUACAAGUAGUUGAAUUCAUCAUCGUUAUGUCCAGUUUAUAACUCUUUUAUGUCGGUGAUAUUUACACUUUACGAGUAUGUUAUGAGUUUUUUAUUAUGUCCUUUUAAUAGGCUCAUUAUGUCGACUUCGUAUGUAAAAUGCUAUAUCCUCGUUACAUCAUUGUUAUGUCAUUGUUAUAUCUAGUUUAUGUGACACGAUUAGAGAGAAGAGAGAGAAAUAAAAGUUGAAAAGAGGGUAUUAUUGGGCGAUCCCAACAGCCAAAAUAAGGGGUAUAAUUGAGAUGACGCCACGUAUAUUUCCGACAACACUUAAGCCUACUAGUCUUUUGGGCUUGGUCGCCAUGGAAUUCUAUUAAGCAACUCAUUCAUUAUCGGGGCGGUUAGGGUUGGGUGGUCAAACCACGAGCGGUUAAUUUUCAAUGAUAAAUUUCGAAACGGUUGACUCUUAUAUGAGCCAAUCAGUUUUCUCCGGAACGGUGCUUGGGCCUUUGAGGCCUUUCUGCAAGAGCAAGUCUGCCACGAGUUCAUCAGUUUAAAACCUCCAUCAUGAACGAUCUAAGUAUCGCCACAUAUCCUUAAACACCACGGCCAACUUUUACGACCGACGGGCUUUUUCAUUUGCCUGCUGACAAGGAAGAAGAUGGGAAAGGGAACCAAAGAGCGUGCGAAAGAGCGACGAGAAAAGAUACGCCAAGAGAUUUCCCUUCUCCGUACCAUUCCCUACCCCGAUCACCAAAGGUAAAUCAAUCUCCUCUCAUUUUUUCAAUCGGAGAUAAUAAUGGAUGCCGCCGUCAAGCUAAAAUUUUGUAACCCGGUGGUUAGGGUUUCUUCAGGUGGUGGAACUCUGAUACUGUGGCCGUAGUUACUGGUUCAAACAGAGGAAUAGGGUUUGAGAUUGCGAAACAGCUUUCCGGCCAUGGAAUUACUGUUAUACUGACAUCCAGAAACCCUAAUUCUGGAAUUGAAGCUGCUAAGUUUUUGCAAGAAUUAGGCCUAUCUGUAGUGUUUCACGAGCUUGAUGUCCUGCACACUUCGUCUAUCGAUCGUUUUGCUGAGUGGAUAAAACACGAGUAUGGUGGUAUCGACAUUCUGGUAAAGUUAAAUUGGCAUUGGCUGAAAUCUAGUUUUUGUUCUGAUAAAAUCUCCAUUGGAAGUAUUUUGAAUUCGGCUGCUGAUUUGAUCCAGGUGAAUAAUGCAGGGGUUAACUUCAAUCUUGGUUCUGAUAACUCUGUCGAAUUCGCCCAGCUGGUCAUUGAUACCAAUUAUCAGGGAACUAAGAACAUGACCAAAGCCAUGAUCCCAUUGAUGAGACAUUCUCCAGCUGGUUCGCGAAUCGUUAAUGUGUCCUCCAGGCUGGGUAGAGUGAACGGGAGACGAAACGUAAGCUAGGAACGAAGAAGAAGCUUCAUAUCUCGCGAGCAUCUUUCCUAUGCUGGAUUACCUUAUAUACCUGUUUAUGAUAUUUGCAGAGGAUUGGAGAUGUAACGCUAAGAGAACAGCUAAGUGGUGCCGAGACACUUUCGGAGGAGUUAAUUGACACGAUGUUAUCGAGUUUCCUCCAGGAAGUUGAAGACGGGACUUGGGAAUCAAGCGGGAGGUGGCCUCAGGUGUUCACGGACUAUGCACUGUCGAAGCUCGGAGUUAAUUGUUUCACCAGGUUGAUGGCUAAGUUGCUCUCUGACAGGCCCGAUGGCGAGAAGAUUUCCGUGAACAGUUUCUGCCCCGGCUGGGUGAAAACUGCCAUGACGGGUUGGAAUGGUAACAUAUCGCCGGAGGAAGCUGCAGAUACCGGUGUGUGGCUGUCGUUUCUGUCGGAGGUUUCGACGGGGAAGUUCUAUGCAGAGAGGCGUGAGAUAAGCUUUUGAAAAUGGUUAUCCACCCAAACUUGUUUUUUUACAACAGCUCUCAGAACUUGUUGGUGUCAAGUUAUGUUCUUACUAAUUCUCGACUCAUUAGAACGUUAUUGCUAAUCAACCUACGUUUCACAAAUGCUGAUCGAAUUGGCUUUUCAACUUAGGUAGAAUCGACAUUUAUGAACAUGACUCUUGUUCAGAUUUUUCCGUCAAAAUCCACGAUUUCGUGAUUUCGGAAGCGCUUGGCUUUAUUUCGAGUGAUCUGUCCCACUGUCAAUCCUAUAGUGACCAUGGGAAUGCCCUUUUACAAUAGCAUUUGCCUACUAGUUGGAGGUAGGGCUGGCAAUUCAACCGUAGUUAUUUGGUUUAAACCGAAAUAAGAUGAACCGCAAACCAAAAUGGAGUGUAUGCAAAGUAGAAAGCAAAAUGAAAUUUUAACCCAACUCAGGUUUUGGUGAAUUUGGUAAUUUAAAAUCGGUUACGAAAACGGCUAAAAUGUAAUAAAUGUCUAAAUCAGUUAAAAUGUGAUAUCAAUUCGAAAUUGAUCGAAUUUGAAAUGAGCUACGGUUAACAUGAAUUCAACUCGGCUACAGACACGGUUAUAAUUUUCGAAAUCGUACUGCUUAAAUCGUUUUAGACUUAAUUGCGAACCAUAGGUGGAUUGGGGAGUGAACAUUUGGUUAGAGAAAAGGAACUGAAUCUCUAAACGAGGUCCUAGUUUUCGAGUUAAACAACGCCGUAGAUAGAGUGAAUUACGUUAUUGUCCUUGCGUAAAAUCGAAAUCUAUGUCAGAAUUUGUGUAUAUCAUUGAACUAACACUCUCAAACACCCUCAAUCAGAAUGGUACAGAGCAGGAUUCCGGCUGCCGUAUAGAGCCAGCCGGCCGGCGGGGGGGNNNNNNNGCGGCCACCGGCGCCCGGCGGUUCCGGCAGCCAACAAGUGCGGCUUCCGAAAUCAAGCUCCGACAGGAUAGUGUUAUUGACCUGAAUUUCGGCUCGGUCAGCAAAAAAUUACCUAAUUUUUAAAAAAAUUAUACUGUAAAAGAGAUUUUCGAAUGAGUAAAUUUAGAUAAUUUUAUUUUUACAAAAUUUAAAACGUUAUUUUAUUGAAAAAUUAAGAUAUCAUUUUAUUCAAAAACUAGAACAAACGAAGCCCCGAUAAUUGAUUGUGGCGGUAACCUUCCUUCUGUAAACAUCUAACUUUGAGAAAGCCCACGAUUCUCAUUUCAAGAUGGCGAGCUUAAGAAGGUCUUUGGCAACUGUCCGCCGUCUCCUCAACUCCACGCCGGCGACUAAUCGUACCUCUAUCUCGCCAAUUCCUUCCCAGUCCGUUUCCCUGUAUGAACGUAUUACCAUAGCCUCAAUUUCUCUCCUCCUUCUCCUCGUUUUCCUCUGGUUCUGACUUCGGAUUUUGGAUUAUUCUUCUUUUCAGACAGGAAUACGGUUUCUUCUUCUCUCGCUAUUCGACUCUCAACAGCGAUGAUUCUGGAUCGAAUCGUAUCGAUCUCUCCAGCGACGAAAGCAGACGCCGUCUGUGUAACAGGUGACAGUCCUAUCCUUAUCCUCCUGCGUGGAAUCAAUGAGAGAUUAUGAUGAAUUUUUCUUAUUCAUAAACCCUAGAAUCCUAAACCGUGAACUUUUUUCCUACAAUUGUUUCUUUUCAGGUUGCUGUAUAGAAGCAGGCAGAGAGGAUACCUGGAAUUGGAUUUAGUGCUUGGGAAAUGGGUUGAGGAGCACGUUCAUUCCAUGGACGAAACCAGGAUUAAAGCUCUCGUUCAUGUCCUUGAUUUGGUACGGAUAUUACGCUUCCAAUUUUGGUUGAUCUUCUUUUCUUCUUCUUUGGUUAUAGGUGUACAUGUAGUUAGUCCUCGAUUUCCCAGAUGCAAUGUUGUGAAGGAAUCAGAUAUCUGGUUGGCUGAUUCUGAAGUUCAUUAGGCUUUUUCUUCUGAGUUUACAUGUUAAUCAAUUUUAGUGUAGUACUUGAAUUAUAAGUCAGGACUUGAGUAUUCUGAAAUGGACGGAUUCUGAACUGGGGUCUCCAUUGGCUGUAUGAGAAUUAUCCUGCUCUCACCUCAGCUUCUACCUCAAAGGGUGAUUGAUUCACAUAAUAGCUUGUGACCAUGAAAUAUUUUGUCAAGGGGUUCAGAAUUUAUUGGAGUUUUUCAGGGUCUGCUUGUCAAUUGUUUCUCUUGAAGAAUGGCUUCUUGCUAAACUAACAGUUGUGGGUUAUAAGUAUCUGCUUUAACAAACGUGUUGCUCUGUGAUCUGUGAUCUUUUGCAGGAAAACCCUGAUCUGUGGAAGUGGCUAACUGGGCAGGAGCAAGCCCCUGAGGCUGUAGGCCAAAACCAGGUGAGAUACGUUUUCUAGGAGAAUCAUCCUAAUCUCUGCGCUAUCUUUCCAUACUUGAGCAUCGUUUUAACUGUUUGUGUUUGCUUGUGCAUUCCUAGGUGUUCUGCGAAAUACGUGAUAAGGUGAUGAACAAUCUCAACAGCCAUGCUGCUCCUGGUACGAGAGCGAUUCCGGGACAGCCAUGGGUUCGAGGAUGGGAUGACAUCAAGAAGAGUGCAGGGGCACCUGUCGCUGGGAAUCAGUAGCUCUUUGUGAUGUUCUGCAAUAUAUAGAAUUGAAUGUUAGAAAUAAAAACGCAUCUGAUAGCUGCAGGUUAGCACAUUAUUAUGGUGUGAAAUUGGAACACACAGAAGAGUGGAAGACAUGAUGACAACUGCCCUUCACUUGUUUGCUAGUUCAUCCUAGUAACUUGGCCUUAUGUUCUUCGAGCAGCUUAAUCACGGCCUCAGCCUCUCUCUUCUUCUUCUUUGAUGUCAUUCAAAUGAAUAUUUCACAAUAGUUUAUUAAAUAUUUUAUGUAUGGUGAAUGAAAUAAAUAUUCUGAUUUCUUUUCUAUAAUUUUUACUGGAAUUUUCCGAUCGUAUUUUGAUCAUAUAAUAUAUUACUUCAACAUUUAUAAUAUAAAAAAAUACAAAUAUCAAGAAUUUAACAGUUUUACUCAAGAGUAGCGAUAUUUAAAGUUUCACCUGCCACUUUAUCUAGAAAAGGAGAAUUCAAAGUAGUUGAGGAUAAAGCGGAUGCCCCAGUGUGUUCAAUUGAGCUCCAUCCAUCACCCAACAAUGGCUGCCUCUGCUAGUGAAUGCAUCUCCCUCUACGCCGCCCUUCUCCUCCUCCUGUUCUUAACCUCCUCCUUCCUCGCCACGGAAUCCUCUCCGGAAGAUCCAACCCCCGCGCCAUGGCCUCUCCAAUUCCACUCAGUACUCUUCAUGAACAAAAGCAACGGCGGAGGCCUCCAAAUGAUCGACCUCUGGUACGACUGGCCCAACGGCCGCAACUUCAACAUCAUCCGCGACCAGCUCGGCGAGUCAGUCAAAUACGACGCCGAAUGGAACAACGGCACGUCCUUCAUCUACACCCUCGGCGGCGACUCCUCCGCCGACCCGGAAUGCAAAGUCCUCCACUUUGAAGUCGGCAUCCUCCGACCUAAUUGGCUCGACGGCGCCAAUUACCUAGGUCAGCAAUACUUCGACGGCUUCCUCUGCAAUGUAUGGGAGAAGGUCGAUUUCAUUUGGUACUACGAAGACGUCCUCACCAAACGUCCUGUCCAUUGGACUUUCUACACAGGUUAGGCCACAUUAAAAUUGAGGUUUAUGAUCUUGCUAGGGUUUUGUGGGAAUUCGGACGAUAAUUGAGUUGACGAUUCCCUUUGUUUUGAUGAACAGGGUACACUGCUCAUGUGAUGACAUUUGAUGUGGGAGCAGUGUUGGAUGAUGCUGGAUGGCAGGCGCCACUGUCCUGCUUCUCCGACUCCGAUCAGCAAGUGGAAAAGAAGAGCCUUCCUGGAAUUGAAACUGUGGCUGGAUUUAGAUCCCUUCUCAGGCUGAACCAUAGCAGUAUUUGAUGCUUAUAUAUCAUCACUUUAUCUUGUUCUACUGUUCAUCAGUUCAUGGUCAUGCUUCCAGUAUGGAUAUCUGCUUUUAAAAUUGAUUAAAAUAUCUUUUUUUCUGUACAAAAUUCCAAUGCACGUGAGUAAACUUCAUUCACAAUCAAUUUAUUAUCAUCAUAACCUAAUUAAUAGGCUCACAAUGGAUCAAAAAUCAGAAAAUCAUAUACCCCGAAAAACAUCUCAUGACUAACGCUAGCAAGAUAAUUAGUUGCGUGACUUCACUAUAAACAUUAUAUAAACUCAAUCUCUUCUCCCACACUCUUUGCAUCAACUAAUCUCGCUACUGCAGUAUAGUGUUAGUGAUAUCAAGCUAACUGCACGAGCAGUACUUGUAUUUUCUGAUACCCUUUUUCAUGCUAUUUAAAAAUGAGUCACAAUUAUCCUUAACACUGUUCAUUCGGAUCGUGCAGAUCAAACACACCUCAAUAACAUUUGUAAUUCAGUACCAACUGCUUCUUUUACUAGUAGAAACUUUGAUUACAGGAGUUUGAUGAUAAUUAGCCGAAAUGCAACAAAACAAACGAGAUGAUCAACAAGAGGUUUAAUUUCCUUUUUUACAUCCUCCUAGCUACCUAAAUUGCUUCACAUCUUCCUUUACUCCUCUGCCUACAAGAAACUAGGCCUACGUCAAAAACUAACUGCCGCUGUACUACUAUUUCAUUUGCAAAGUCAUCUCUCGGCGAGGAGGAAUAUCCUUGGCAGCAUAUAUCAUCUCACGUGGCACCCUGCAGCCGUCACCCCGACAGUCAACCUUCUCCACUUUCAGAUUCGGAUUCAUGUUGCUCUGGUUGAUGAAUCUUCCAAGAUUCCCAUAUCGAGUCGCAUCGAUGAUCGAAUAGCAUCCUUUUCCGCCAGAAACACCACCGAUGUCGAGACGAUACCUGAUUCCAUCCUUCCUCACUUCCUUGUAUUCACCCACGUACUCACAGAUCAAACUUCCUGACGAAAUGUACUGCCUCGACCUCAAUCCCCAGCCCUUGACAUCGUCCUGCGUCCUGAAAACCUCAAACUGAAACUUGAUCGGUACCGCAUUUUCGCACUUGCAGCAGCAUCCUACAUUGACGUAAUUGAAAGGAGAUGGCCUCUCAUCGUCCCAACCGUUCACAACCGAGACAGCAAUUCCUUCUUUCUCUUCCGAGAUGUCAUUCUUUAUAAGUAUCUCUUCCCUUUUCAAUCUCUUCGUCGUCUUCUUUUCCGGAAUUGCAAUGUCGACAGGAGGUUGACCAGGAAUCCGAAUCAGCUUGAACUUAAACACAAGCUUCCCAAACUCAUCUCGUUCCUGCCGUACACUCUCCACAGUGUACAAUCCAUCGUAAACAUAAACACUAUCCUGACAAUCGGCCCUGUUCGAACUCAAACAUCGAAUGACACGAACUGGAUUCCUCGCCUCCAUGCUGUUCGCCAGGGCGAGAUUCCCUCUCUCGAGCUUCUGAUCAUCGAUGGAACCUCGAACACUCGUUCGAACGUUAGGGUUUCCUCCGUGGCCCGAGUAUAUAAGAACGUCAGAGGACAGCAUCAAGUUGGAGUAACGCUUACUGGCCACAAUGCUGAUAGCUACUCCAUUGUUGUAAUCCACACCAGCCAUGUACUGGCAGUGGAGCCCGAUCACUUUCAUCUCGGCUCUCGAUCGGAACUGGUCUCCAAUUUCGACUCCCGGAAUCGAACCGAGUCUUUUCCGUUUGUCCAUGGAUAUUCCAGCUCGUUGGAGUAAUGUCGCUGCCGCGAGAUAUAAAUCGUAAGCUUUUUUCCCCUGGCUUUUCUUCUGCAGAGUGUCGAGUUGUUCCCUGUAGAGCCUGAUGAUUUCUUGGACUCUCUUCCGCGCGUGAAUGGCACGCUCUUCUGCUGCAUCGGAUAUGAAUGUCAUCAUCAUCCCGCUUUUUCUCUUCUUCUCGUUGACCGUCUCCGGCGGAGGAGUUCUGUACCCCAUAAAACCCAGAAUGCUCUGUUUUUUUGGCCUAGUUGAGAGAAAAUGAAACAAUGACGGUUUAUUGUGAAAGUAAAACGCCGGGGUGGUAAGAAGAAGAAGUGGUUGAAGCCAUGAAUGGAAGAAAUUCAAAUCAAGAACCCAUCAAGAAGAUGAUUGACUGGAAUAAGUUACAGGAAGAGAGAGAUACAAAGGCACGGCAUUUCGUGAAGGUUCUGGGGAAGUGUGUGUAGUGUAGCUAGGUAUAGAGUAGGGUGAAAGAGUGGAUGUAGGAAAUUGGGGAGGAAGAAGAGUAAAUUUGCUAUUGUGGGUAGGAAUCAGAUGGCAGAGAGGGAUGAGAUGGGAGUGUGACGAACAUAGGAUCUGUGAGAGAUAGAAGUAACAGCUGAAAAAGUAAAUAAAGCUGAAAGCUUUCACAGUAGUCUGCAGACUGCAGAGAUUAAAUGGAGAGAGUGGCCUUUGGUAAUCCAUUCUUCCCUCGCAACGGAUAGUAAAUAGUAAUACUUCGAGUACGCCCACGACCCCCACGUAUUUCUCCCACUUUCAUUUUGAGAAUGUGUUUUUGAAAUUCUGUUUACUCUGCUUUUUUAAUAUUCAUUCAAUAAGAAAUCCGACUACACACGAUCAAUAUACAACAAUUUCGUAUAUUUUUUGCUUUUUUACUUCAAAAUUAUUUUCCAAAAUAUUUUCAGUUUGAUAUAAUCCAAAUUCGAAAAAUAUUUAUGGACCUGUCUCGGAACAAGUUUGAUUUUUAUGUUUUGAAAAUUGAUAAUUUUUGAAAUGGCAUAUUCUCAAAAUGUUUUGUUCGAAAGUAAUUUAUUUAUGGUUGAGUUUUUUAAAAAAAAAAAUUUUUUGUUGUUGAAUUACUAAAUUAUUAUUUUGUCUCAAACUGAUAAACCGUAAGACAAAGAUAAUAUUAAANNNNNNNNNNNNNNNNNNNNNNNNNNNNNNNNNNNNNAGGUCUAUUCACACUUAUAUUUUGAUACAUCUCAACAUCUCAUGCCAAAUAUGAAUAUAACUUAGUACACAAACCAAUCUCAUGAGAUUUUUAUGCGAGAAAAUCAUAUAUUAUUCAUAUUUUUUAUUAAGGCAUAGUAAUGUGAGACAUAUAAAAAGUCUUAUUGGAGAUAUAGUUUCACCAACAAGGCUAGCAUGGAUCAUGAAUCUUUAUAAUAACAAACACUUCAAUCCUUUCCCUCUAACAAACGGACAAUUCAAUAAAGAUUCAUCCUAAAAAUAAAAAAUGACGACAUUAACAAUCACCAACAAAACAAAACACACAAAAAAGUUAAAAUUAAAAAUAAAAUUAUAAAAAAAAAUCUAACAAAUUUGGAUGCGAUUAACAACCAUCCUAUUUGAACGGCUAAAGAAGGUUAGUUCCUUUCUGAUAUUUUUAUUGGGUAAUAUUACCUCAUGCAGGAUGAUUUCAUAUAUAUAUGUGGCACAAAUACCAUUGGUGGACUGCAAGAUGCAUUAAAGUCCUUAAUCAAAAGGAAUACUUAUGGCCAGUAUAAUUAAUAGGUUGUUGAUUGAUUAUUAUUAUUAUUAUUAUAAGGGUAAUCCCAUUAAUGGUGCAUCUAAAACAGUGAAAACAGUGGCUGGAAUUGGUGCAUAUUGCAGACCCUGUACUGUACAUGUAACAAACAUUAUAUUGCUGCGAUAUUUUAGACCGAUUUCCCGUUUUGAUGCGAGAUGUCGAUUGUCGGCUAAAAUGCUUGCGAACUGCCGUCGAUAUAUUAUUCUAUCGUAUUAACGGUGAGGAGCAAUCGGCCUUUGUGCAUGGAAGAUCGAUCAAUCAUAUAUAGCGUGUUUGUUGCUUUCGAAACUUUGCAUACCAUCAAAGAUAAAACGAACGGGCAAGAUUGAGAUGUGACUUUCAAGAUUCGACAUAUCAAAAGCUUAUAACCGUGUUGAGCGGGACUAAUUGGAGAAAUUGCUUCUCAAAAUGUUGUUUGGGGAACGCAUGAUAUAACAUGUUUAUGUGUGUGAAAUCCGUGAAUUAUAUGGUCACGAUCGUGAAAGUUGGUCCAAUCUCGUAUGAAUGGGCCAGGGAUUAUGUAAACAUUGUCCCUUGUAUCCUUUUAUAGUUCAUCCUUUGUGUGGAAGGUCUUUCCGGUAUGAUCCAAUGAAAGGUGAAUACCCUAUCCCGAUUUUAAAGUCUUUUUAUUUUUAAAAGUGAUCCCUACAUAUUUUAAAAUAAUAAUAAGGACGAUUUUUGAAAAUGAAGAUGAAUUAAUUGAGGUGGAUAGCUAUUUGUAUCCUUUUAUAAUUCAUCCUUUGCAUAGAAGGUCUUUCUCGUUUGAUCCAGUAAAAGAUGAAUACCCCAUUUCAAAAUUUCUCUAUUUUCAAAUAUGAUCCCGUUAUUAUUUCACAACGUCUUAUAUUGAGAUAUUAUAUGGCUAUCCACAUCCAUACAAUUCAUCUUCACUCUAAAUAGUCAUUUUUAUUAUUAUUUUAAACUAUAUAGGAACCAUUUUUGAAAGAAGAGGUAAUUUGAAAUUUAAAAAGCUUCACCAGGUGGUGUGAUUUGGGGAAGCCAUUGUCGGGUCCUUAAAGCUUACACUAUGAAUACAGGCUGCUGGUGUUCCAUAUUACUAUUUCGGAAUUGCACGCAAUAUUGCCGUAUUGGUGAGGAUUAUAGCCUGCUUUAUUUGACUGUUUCGUUCUGGAGUUUUUGGUUGAUGCUUCUGUCGAGGCAAAUGGGCAGUUGAUAUUAAACUGGUGCUGACUGCUGAUAGCGUUCAUGAUCCGACGGAAUAUUAAUAAAUCUGUCCAUACAGUACUUACAAAAUCUAUUACAUUUUCAUUAAAUCGUGUUUAGGCUUUGGAUUUAUGCUUAGGAUGUUUUUUUUUUCUACUCUCCCUACAAACAUGUAUAUGAAAAAAAAAACAUGAUAACAAUGGUUGACGUGGCAAAAAGUAAUUUCGACUCCGAUCACUCUUUAAUCUCGGCUCCACGACUCAAUCGACGGCGACCGGAGUUUCCUUUCCUCUCGUCGGGGAUGAGGAGGUAAAGGGUGUAAGAUACAAGCGUGGGAAUGGGAACGAGCUCUGGCUCAGAUAAGGACGACUCCGAUGGAUGGGGCAAAACUCAGGGACUGGUGGUGAAGACGCUGAUUUUGAUCGGAGGUGCCUUUCUGGUGAAGCGGUUUACUAAAUCCACUACACGUUGGGACCAUGCUAACCACGUUUCCCAAUCGCUCUCCGGUGAAAAAGGUACUCUUCUCAGUUCUUUUGUUUCCUUCUGAGAUUUUGUUGUUGUUGAUGUGGUUCUAAAUUCCUAUUCAAAUUCGAUUGUGGAUUUCCAUCGUUGCGAGUAGUCCUCGAGGGAGCAAGCAUCCAGAGAUCCUGAUAAUUACUUCAACAUUAGGUAGUGUAGUGAUGCCUCCACACACUUUGUCUUGAUUUUGCAACUAGGAGCUUCCAUGCCUUUGUAUCUUAGUUGCAGGAAGGAAGUUGGAGAGUCAUUCCCAAAUUCCUUUACAUUUGUGCUUGUGCCUUAAUUGUGGAUGCUUUCUCAAUUUGAAAUGUGCAGGACGAUUAUGUGUCCUGCUGCUGAAAUGGUUGAUGGUACACAGGUUUUGUACUUUGAACAGGUUGAUGAGCCAGCUCUAUUGCCUCAUUUCAAGUGUUGUAUAUAUGAGUCUUGUUUUAUCUCCAGGUAUCUCAGCUUGAGUGCUUGACUAUUAUUAUGUUCUCUUUCUUACCAGGCAUUUUGGCGCAAUCCUCAGAAACCCUUUCGGCAAGUAAGCUGCUUCACCUUCUUUACCUAUUGUUUUGGAGUGGACAUGGUGGCAUGGUCCUAGACAUGAUAUACUUGAACCUGAAUGACAUGUUUUGUUCUCAUAAUCUUCUCCCGGAUUUCGAUAGUGCAGUGCGAUUCAUCAUGAUCGAUUGCAACUUGUUUGUCAUAGAUCAAAUGGGCUUGGGAACUGUUGUUGGAAGGACUUAAGAACCCGAUAUUUUCCCUUUUUUUAUUAUUUUAUGGCUUGUAUAUCUUUUCGUUUAAAGUUGCAAUACUACUAUUUAUGUACUAAUUAUCAUGCUUGUACAUUACAGAGGUUCUACAUGGUGAAGCCUUGCCCAAAGGAGUUGAAAUGUGAUGUGGAGGUACUAGCUUUACUGUUUUCUCUGUUGUCUCGGUGUUGAAGUUUGAACUCCACUUGGUACCUAGUUACACUUAAAAACAUCAUAUGACUUUCUGUACUUCACGUGGACUUGCAGGUAAGCACUUAUGCAAUUAGGGAUGCAGAUGAGUACCUAAAUUUCUGUGAUCGUCUGAGAGAUCAACGACCACGUCCUGAAGAAGUAAUUAGUGUAAGUUUUAUGGACUCAUUUCAGAUCUAUGUGGGAAAAUUCUUGGUUUAUGUUAGAGUUGUUCUCAUGAAACUGCAUUGAAGAAUUAGAGUGGGACAUUUCUUGGUUUAUGUUAGAGUUGUUCUCAUGAAACUGCAUUGAAGAAUUAGAGCUACAGAUUUUCGCCGGAAUAGAAGACUAGGCUGGCUGAGGAUCCUACAUGUCGCAUUUCAUGCAUGCAUUUGCAACACUGACAUAACAUUCUUUUUUGUUUUGUUAAAUCGACAUGACAUUCUAUUUUCUAUUAUUGUGUACAAAGCUGGUUGGAUUAUGUAUCUAAAGAAAUGAGCAGUAAAUUUCACAAAUAAGCAGAGGCAUUUUGAGUGUAAUUCCUUUUCCACAAGUGGAAUGCUUGUCAGUAGCGAUAUGAAUAGGGGGUGGAUAGUUGGAAGUUUCAUAUGUACUGCGGUAGUGGAGUUUAGCUGUGUUUGUGAUGCUAGCACCUUCGCCAUCAAUGCAGGGCAUUGCAGAACAGCUCAGUACAUUACAUCUAAAACGAUGUGAUCGUGGAAAACGCUGCAUGUACAAAGGUUCGACGCCUCCUGGAGGAUUCCCUAACACAUGGGUAUGUGAGCUGUUUCCUGCUUCUAUUCCACAUUUCAAUUCCCCACAGAUCAUUUUGUGCAAACCACAAUGUCUUGUACUUUUGUUCCAGCCAUUCACUUCUUCUAGUUGAUAAAGAGGAGCUUAAGCCAUACUCUUGUGUCAUCAGCAGCCAUUAAUAAUACUCGUUCAUCCAUACCUUUUCUCCCACUUAUUAGAAUGACGCCACUUAUUGUACCUCGGAACUUUCCGUAUUGAAGAACAACGAAGUGCAUAUGUGGGACAGGUGUUACGAUGAUGAUGGAAACCAGGUUAGCUUUAUUUGAUUCUGGAUUUUCGUUUUUAUCACCAAACAGCGGGUUAGCCUGGGAAUCAAUGGCUUUUGUUUUGACAGGUUUGGGGAUCAAGGGAAAGUCCAUACGAGUUCAAGCCUGCACCAGGUUCUUCUGGCAGUCUGAAUGGGAUUUUCUCUUCAUUGAAUCUCAGUCCACUAGCAAAAAGAUGAAGAGACUUCUUCCAUAUUGGAACCAAACCAGACCAUAGUUGUUGAAAGAAAAUGGACAUUGGCAGCAGAAGAACUAAACAAAGAGUUAAUAGCAUAGCAUGGAAUGCAUUUAUGUUUAAACUAGUUCGGUACUAACUACUUUAUGUUGUUACAUCGAUGUAUAUAGGAUAUCACAAGUUCAAUUAAGAUUAUCUUUUCUCCUUUCUGCAGUAUCUUCCUCACCUUGUGCCAUUCCUUCGUGCAUUUUCUAGACUAGACUGUUGUGAUAUUCUAGCUUUCGUGCAAUUUCUCGCCUUCGUGCAAUUCUAGACUCGUCUUUGUGCAAUUUCUCGCCUUCGUGCAAUCCGAACUUCAUUCAUCCUUUUCUUCAUCUUCUUUCCGCUUAUUUUACGAAACAACCAAACAAAAUGUACCACUUUUCUUGUUGAUUCGACCCCUUUCUGUGCAUGUGCCCCAAACCUCACCAACGAAUUAUCUUGGUUUGAAACUCGACAAAGCUUGAGGAGUGCCUUGAUCGUCGAUUCUCUCAAGAUCUUUAUCGGUAAACUCAUCUAUCUAUCCUUUCCUUUUCGGAAAUUUAAGAAUAAGUGUCUAUUUGCUUUAUAAGCGGUUUUUUUAUGUAAAUGGCUUGUCAUAUAUUAAUGCUCCAAAAUCGAACAAUUACGACAAAUAGCAUUCUCCAAUCAAUUCGGAGAAACAACAACUGUAGUGGGUGAAGCAAAAAAAUGCGACCGCUCUAGUCAAAAUAUGCCCAACCUUAUUUCUAGUCCUCAUAACUAUUUUAUCAGUGGGUUUUGCUUGUAAAACCUGUAAUUUUGAUUAUUAAAAGUUUACUAUAUCAAAAAAAUUAUAAAACUAACCUUAAAUUAUUGGCUUAAAUGUCUAAAAUGUCCCGAACUAUUAAUUUAUUAUUAAAAUAUACACUUGACCUUAUGAUUAUUAUGGAUUUGUCACCAACUAACUAUAAUUUUCAAAAAAAAAAUGUCACGUCGUGAGUACUACACUAAUCACCUAGAUCUGGAUGAGUUUCUUUCAUGCACAUUGGUUAAUUUAGCUUAAUUAAACGGGUUGAGUUGAAGGUAACAAAGAUGAUAUGGCGAUAAAGUGACGUCAAUAGAAAUAGUUAGUUAGCAUGAUGAUCUUUUACCUUAACAGAGUUUUUAGACGGAGAGCUAACAAGAUGAUAAGGGGUUACAAUUAAAAUGGAUUAGUCAUGUGUAAUCUAGCAUGGAUUGGUCCUUGAAGGUUUGCUACUGCACGUAUUAGGAGUGUUGCAGGUGUUUUUAGGUGGAAUGCAUGGAAAGAAACAAGAGUUUUAGGUGUAGUUAGUAUGGUAUAAAGCUCAAUCUUCUUUAUACAUUACAAUGAGGAACCUCAUCCAUUAAACAACAACAAGCAACAAAACUAAGUUUUGCAGUUUUAACCACCAAUGCAUGUCACCACAAACUCUACUAAACAACAGACCAUCCGCAACCCCAGAACCUGCAUAUCCUCCUCCCCCAUGCAUUACCAAAAUCUAGAAAGAAGAAAACAAUUUACACUUCUGUAAAUCUGCAAAUUUGAUUCCUCUAUUGGCAGAAAACCCUCAGUUUCUUUCUUUCUCGGUAACCGCUGCGGCUACCAAGGUUUGAGAUCACCAACAGGACCAGCAGUCCAGUUCAAAAUCUUCUCCCCAGGACUCAAGUACACACUCUUCUCGUGGGGAAGUUUACGCGCCAGUCCGUUCAAAACUUGAUGGAAGGCGUCACCCGGUUGAGCCGGUUGAGGGAACAACAUCGCCUGCUUCAUCGAAGGGUUAGCCAGCAAUCUCUGUUUUCUCAGUAUAACCUCAGGAGGGAUUGAAGUUAGGAUCGUGUCCAAGUUUGGAACAUCUUUCUCAUCAACAAACACCCCGAUUUCCUCCCACGGGAUUGCAUCAGCAAAGGGCAGAACAAUGUCGUCGGCUAUGAUCACGGGGAUACAACCAAACACCACCGCCUCGACCAAUCUUGGACUCCAUGGCGCCCAUCCGAGCGGACACAGACAGAAGACCGCUCGUUGCAUAUCUUCGUAGUAUGUGACGGGAUGAUCUGUGGAUAUGUCGAAAAGUGGAUUGUUCUUGAAGUUCUCCCACACUGCUGCACGAGCACCUCUGCAAGUUUGGAACUUUAAGUUAAUUUGACUGUAAAUAGUCAACACGAGCUACGAUUCAUUCAAUGAUGUUGUAAAGUACUUACCUUGCAUAAUAGCCGCCUUCUGGGUCAUUUCCCACAUCAUAAAACAAUCCUCUGAAGUACACAAAAAUGGAUCUUGGAACACUCUCGGGGAUUAGAUGAGAUUUCAUCUUUUGAGGAGGAGCAUAUGGAGGAACUGUGAUUGAGCCUUCUUUUAAGCAAACGUGAUUCCGCUGCCCGAAUGUUUGGACCAACGUAGCACGUUGAAGCAAAGGAAGAAUUCCUCUUUCAAUUGCCUUCUCUUCCUGAAACCGCAUCAUAUUGACAAAAUGAAACAAGAGUUAAUAAACACAGCAACACAGCGAAAAUUGCUUAGUUUACCUCUACUCCAAAGAAGAAGAAACACUCACUUGAUAAUGAAAGCAUGGUCCAAAGUCAUGGGGCACAACAAAGAAGUGAUCUGCUCCUUCAGUUCGAUUCCAAUAAGGCCAGUUGGAAGCAAUCAGCUGUAUUGCACUUCUCACGAUUCUUGGCGACUUAAAAGGCAAAGGAAGACCGUUCGGCGUUAAGUCACAAGUGGGGUAUACAGGAGUAUAGAACCAAUCAGCUUCCUCGGGAUUGAGGGUGCGAACAGGGCUCGAUAAUAGAAACCGAUGCAUAUAAAUCUCAGCCGCAAACAUGUGAUUAAGGCAUCUUUGGUCUUUCUGCAGAAGCUUCUUGUUGUAUUUGCUGGGAAGUUCAUAAACAAAAACUUUCAGCCUUCCAACAGGAUCAUCAUCCAACACAUCACCAGCACUACCUGCAAUCACCAAACAUCGCAUUUGACUAAGCAUCCAUAAAGAGCACAGAAGAAAAACCAUGGAAUUUCACCUAAACUGCUUCCUUGAUCAUCUUUAUCAGCAUAAAUCAACAAGGAAAGACGAAAACCAUGUUUUGACUCAAGUCUGCAACUACUUCAAACCGAAGUCAUAAUGAAGUCAAUUUACAGAGAAAACCCACUUGCAGAAUUUCCUAUCAGCUCAGAGUAGUAAUGCAACUCAACUUCUCCACAAUAAUCAGUCUGGCAUCUCCAGUUACAUACUGAACCUCAAGUAGUUACCAACUCACUAUUGGCAGGAAAAACAGAAUGGGAAUAAUUCAGCUACAAAGUUGAAUUAAGACGAUUCCAUUACAUCACAAUAAACUACAAAUUGUAACUAACCACAUACAUUCCUCUAUCCAAGACUAAAAAAGAAUUGCUUUGCUUUAUCUAAGAGAAAGAUAGCAUAAACGUUCAACACAGUCAGAUGGCUUGGAAACUUGGGAACCAUCCGGAAUCCCGAUUAAAUCUGUAAACGCUUCUUCAGAUCCUAGAAAGCUAUCACAAUCCCCACCAAGCCGUAAGCAACUUGAGCUACUAUCUAUCCCGAAAUUCAAUCCACACAAAUUAUCGGAGCAGCAAAAGAAUCGAACCUGAAAUCCUCUCGGUAGGCUGAGUCCUGGCGAGCUCAACAGCAGAGCCCAUCCUCGGUAGAAAAGCGGCAUGGCAGAGGAUUGCAGAGAAGACCCAGAUCCAAAUCUCCAUCUUUUUUUUUCUUUUUUCUGAGACGGGGUGUUUUCUCCCCAGAGAAGGGAGAAGAAGGAAUAGUUUUAACAAGGGGGAAGCCUUACAGUUGGAAUGUCGCAGGAGCAGGUAGGUGAAGGAGAACAACAACUGGAAGGAAAUGGAAGGGUGGGAGUUGGAGGGAGGGCUUUCGUUCUCUAUUUGCUCUGCUUUGUUUAAUCGAAAAAAGAAUCAAAAUUGAAGAACACCAGAAAUAGACUUGACGACUACUGCCAGCCGAUUUUGCUUCAAACCGCAGAGAGAGAGAGAGAAGAGAGAGAAGUUUACUGCUUGGUGGGUACGUUUGUUAGGAGAGAGGACCUGCGUAUGUCUUUCUGCAACAUAUCUUACUCGUAAGUCUAACCGUACAUGUUUAACCGUUUAAAAUCGUUAUAAACUAUACCUUAUUGUGAUCCUACCGUUACAUUAGAAUUUUACUGAACUAUUUUGAUGAAUAUUGAGCUCAAUGUAACUAAUUAAAACCUUACAAAACCAACAAAAGUAAGGGUGGACAAUGCUAAAACAUGAAAAUCCAUACCUUGAAAUUUCUUAUUCAUCAUCCUCGCCAUCACAUGGUAUUAUGUUAUUUCAAUCAUUUUCAGCUUCGAAAGUUGUGGCAUUAACUUCUUUACUCAUCUCCAAAGCAGAAGCGAGACCCACUAUAAUAAUUCAAUCAAAUCCAUUUAAUGAGUAGGCUAUUCAGCACUUUUUAAAGAAUUUAUGCUAAGAAACUAGAAGUAAAAUAAGAUAAUAAAUAACAAUUGUCAUUCUUUAUCUCGACUAGUUCAUCCAAAUCCUCUUCGUCUAAUAACUCGGAUGAAAAAAUCGACCUUAACCAAUCUCCUGAGCAAAUUAGAGCUCUACAAUUUUAGGAGUUAAAGAACUCUUGAACGAGUCCAGCACUCGACCGCCUGUGCUAAAGGUCGACUCUGAAGAUACAGUCGAUAAGGGAACUCGUAAGAUGUCUCUUACCAUCUCACGCAGCAAGGGAUGUCGAUGUCCAUUGUUCUUCCACCCAAAGUAGUGAAAUCAACGAUUUAGAUCUUAAAAUAUUACGGUUUUACGAUUUUAGUAGAAUCUAACGAUUUUGAUUCCACUCAAAAUCAGUGGUUAGUGGAAUUAAGUAAAAUCACGAUUUAAUUCUUAAAAUCUUGUGAAAUCAACAAUUUUUCAUGUAUUUUACGAUUCUACUUUCUAAGUAAAAAUUGUCCAUUUGUCAAUUUCGCUCACUCAGUUUGGCUUAGAAUAAAAAAAUCUACGUGUUAUAAGUAAUUUAUUUAUUUUAUUCGUAUAUUUUGAUUAUUUUAGUAACAAGUAAAAAUUAAAAUAAUAAAAUUAGUCUAAAAUUAAUGCAUUUUCUUUUUCAAAUUUGCUAUAAUAGAAAGUCGUGAAAUCUUACGAUUUUACGAUUCGAUUCUACAAUUAUAAUUUUAUAUCAUUUUACGAUCCCGUGUUAACUCCACAAUUUCACUACCUUGCUUCCACCAACCCAAGACAUCAUACUUACCAUCUGGAUCCUGUAGAUUGUGUGUAUCUUCACGUUCCAUUGAUAAAUAGAUAUCCAAGUCAGUUAGAAUAGCAGGUUCGGGGGGAGAGAUUUUUUUUUUUUUUAUUGGGAGAAAAAAAANNNNNNNNNNNNNNNNNNNNNNNNNNNNNNNNNNNNNNNNNNNNNNNNNNNNNNNNNNNNNNNNNNNNNNNNNNNNNNNNNNNNNNNNNNNNNNNNNNNNNNNNNNNNNNNNNNNNNNNNNNNNNNNNNNNNNNNNNNNNNNNNNNNNNNNNNNNNNNNNNNNNNNNNNNNNNNNNNNNNNNNNNNNNNNNNNNNNNNNNNNNNNNNNNNNNNNNNNNNNNNNNNNNNNNNNNNNNNACAGUUUCGAUUGGUUUAUUUUUGACAAAAAUUAUUAUUCAAAAUAGAUUUGCUUUUAUAGAAAACUUAUACGGAUUGUUUGGGUUGGUGAUUUGAGUCUCAACAGAGAUUUCGUCUCAAAUUACCUGUUUGAAUACUAAAAAAAAAGAGAUUUUGGGAGAUUUGAAAUCAUAUUAUGGGUCCGAAAAAAAUCUCAUAAUUUAUAUCAUCCGGGGGUGGAACUUUCAAAAGUAAAAUGAAAGAUUUAAAAAUAUUAACCAAAAUUAUCUUUUAUUUUCUUUUGAUAAUUAAUAUGAUCAUAAAUAAAUUCGAAAGAUUUUUAAAUUUUUUAUUUUUUAUUUCUCUUUUAUUUUUUCCUCUCUAUAAUAAUCAGAUUUAAAAUUCCUAAAACCAACCAUCCAAAUGAUUUUUCUAAAAAUCAGGCAUAUGGCGCGGCAUGGCGCAAACUGCCUUCGUUUCCAAUCCACAAGACCUGAACAAGUUCAUUGCAUGGAGUCAACAUCAUGCAUGACUUGCUGUUUCUCGCCAAACUGUACUGUAUAACUUAUUGCCUGUAUAUGUAAGAAAACUACUUGAUCCGUGUUUAAACAGCAACAAAUAUUUCAGCUGCUUACUGGCUUGGAAGUCCAUCUAUUGAAAAUUUCGGCAUCUGACAGAAGUUCAAUUUUCUGGUAAAUAGCGAUGUCAGAAGGAAAACACCUUUCAGCUGAACAAGAACUUCUGGUAGCACCAUAGUGAUCUCCAAAGCGGAAUGCCGCAAUAAAAAUGCUAACAUGCAUCUGGGAAAGAUACUUAGGUUUUGAUCCACUGCUGAUGCUCAAGGUAUUAGCUGAUAAUGAUGAUGUGAGAUCCAAGUUAAACGAGCUCUUUAUGAGCUCAAUGCAUCCAUCGACUGCAAGGAUUCCUCCUCAGCCGGCCUUCUCUUUAUCAUGAACUGAUGAAUGAUUGAAUGGCAAUGGUUGACAACUACUCGAGCCAAAACUUCCACCGAAGUUAAUUCAUUACCAAUAAUCUCCACAAGAACACGAUCCCCCUUCAAACCUGUGAAACCGGAUCCGAUCUCUAACAAGAAUCACUCGGUUCAACGUCAUCGAAACUAAUCUAAACCAACUGUGGCAGUCGUCACAGAUUCGAAGAUUCUUCGAGAUUCUGAUUUCUGUUCCGGGAGCAGUCUUCAGAAUCCCGUACGCCAACGCCAACUUUUCACUGUGAUGAUGAAGAUUCUCCUCCUUCUCCUCUUCCGACACAUCCAUCAUGACCAACUCAGUCUUGGGGACAAACCCAAACAACUUCGCCUUUUCAAUCAGUCCUCUGAGAACUUUGUACACCGCAGCUAUCUCAGGAUGGGAUCUAUCACCAGACUUGAAAUGGUGAAAGCCCCCACCCAAUUCAAACCAACUAAUUCCCUUCUUCUUACUCACCCCAUGCUUCUUCAUCAUCUCCCUAACUCUCUGCGCACUGUCCCAUUUCAGUUGGGAGCAGUAUAUGUUUGAAAGCAAUACAUAAUCGCCACUUUUCAGACGCGAUAUAUUAGCAAUGGCAAGCUCACCGAUUUCGGGGGCUUUGUGCAUUCUAGAAGCACUAAGAAGGGCCCUCCAUAUAACAACAUCCGGCUCAAUCGGCAUUGACAUGAUCACAUCAUGAGCUUCCUGUAAAAAUCCAGCUCGACCCAAGAGAUCAACCAGGGCUCCAUAAUGCUCGCGCUGUGGUUCAACCGAAUACCGAGUUUUCAUCAAACCGAAGUAAUGCCUACCUUCUUUCACCAAACCGGAAUGACUACACGCAGUGAGAAGUCCUAGAAAUGUUAUACUAUCCGGAGAAACAUCUUCAGACUCCAUCUUUGAAAACAAAGCAAUUGCAUCCAAGGCAAAGCCAUGAAUUGCAAAGCCAUUGAUCAUCGAGUUCCAAAUCGAAGCAUCAUCCCGCCGAACCCUCUCGAAUAUACUUUUAGCAGCAUCGAUUCCGCCGCAUUUUGAAUACAUGUCUAUCAUAGCUGCAACUAGAAUGGAAUUCACUUCAACUCUCUUCUCAACCAUCACCUGAUGCAGCCACUGAGCCUGGGGGAGACUUCCAAGCUUUGCACAGGCAGGCAUCACGGAUGCAAAUGUGAACUUAUCCGGAUUGACAUUCGAACUAAGCAUCAAUUUGAAAAGCCUGACGGCCUCCUCAAAUCGACCGUUUUUAACAUAACCUCCAAUCAUCGAGUUCCAAGUCACCACAUCUCGGCCAGGCAUAUUAUCGAACACCUUCCGUGCCAAAUCUGAAUCUCUGGAUGUCAUGAAACUAUGCAGCGUCUUAUUCAAAACAACCAGAUCAAAAUCCCAACUAAAGACCUGGCGAACGACUUUGUAAGCGAAAUUGAGUCGGUCGCAGUGAGCGUAAACUGAUAUAAGCGAAGCCAGUAGAGAAGGGUGGGUUCCGUACCCAAAUCUUAUGACUCUGGUGUGUGUUUCAGCUGCGGUUCUGAUAUCUGAGGAGAGUUUGCAGGCUUCCAGGAGAUGACAGAAUACUUGAUAAUCUGAGUGCGCCAUUGAAAGUACGCGUUAGGAGAGACCAAAAGUUUAAAUUUUUUUGAACAGAUCAGAACAUAGAGAAAUGACAGGCAUGGAAACCUUGGUUGAGUUCAUGGAAGUGUUGAAGCGAAGAGGCGGAAUAGAAACGGGGAGUUCUCUCGAUGCCCAACUGAAUAUAGAAGCCGAUUCUCCAGGCUCCAUGGCUCUGCAUGUUAAAGGAACUUGCCGCCGUCGCCGUCGCCGCCAGCCGCCGCCUCGAGAUAUGGGGAUGAACGGAAAUUUAUCAGCUUGGUUAGAACUAUAAGUAACUUUUUGUCUUUUCUUUUUAGUUUUGAGUUCGUCACAAGGAAAUGAAGAAUUUGUCAACUAAUCAGAAGUAGAGAAACCGAGCAGGAUUUGGCAACCCAGACGAUUAAUCGGUUGGGUUGACGACUUAUCAGUUAUCACACUGUUUUGGGAUGAUGCAAAUUCCAUUUAUGAGAAGAGGGUUUUGCCUUCCGCCUGGAUUGGUAUCCAUUGCAAACAUGCAACUUGAGAUCUUAAUUAUAACCCACACGUAUAUAAGUUGUUAUAAGAUCAUUUUCUACGAAGGUGCCAUCACAUAAAAAUUCUGAUUGGAGAGGAUGAUGAGGUCGGUUAGGUUGGAAUUUGAGUCGUUAAUGUUUGAGUAGAAAAAAGUUGAGAGCAUCACUCAUACACCCUACACUCUAAUUGGCCUUCAAAAAACGUUAAAUAAUACCUAAAAUUAAGUCAAAAAAAACUUGAUAUAUAACAAUAAUGUGAUUAAUAUGAGAGGUUAGGAGAAUUUGGGUUUCAUCCUUCGACGUCGACCCCUUUGUAGAAUUCAACAAUCCUCUUGUUGAGAGGUUCGUGGUAACGCUGCUGAUUUGCUACCCUAUUUGAUUCAUCUUUUUUCUUCGGCUUUUUUUUGUUUGUGCAAGAGGGGGCUAGGGUUUUUUGAAACAAAAUACAACAAAGGUUCCUUGAAACAACAGAUGGUUAGGGCUUUUGGUUCUUUCUCUCGGCUACAAAUCGACGAUGGCGAUGUUUCACCUAGACGAGAGGAUGAUGAUGUGGAAUGAGAAACGGACGCACUGUGGAUGGUCGAAGAAGACUAAGUGGCAGCGUUCGAGGUAUCUAGGAACACCCAAAAAACUUGGCAUCGGCAAGCUUGAACACCAGGUCCUGCUAGGAGAAGUAAUACAACGACAGAGACUUGCUCGGAGACUUAACCCCUCCAGGCGUUUGAAGUUUUGCGUGUCCCCAGUUCGGGCUCCAAUAGCUGUUUCUUGCUUUCUUUAUAUUCCAGUUAUUUCUUUUCGGUUGAACUUAUUGAGAAUUUUAUGUCGGGUAGUUCUUAGUGUAUGGAAUGUAAGUCUCCGUUCAAGAAAUUUUUUAUUUUGGAUGACUAGUACCACGAAUGGGUUCGCUUUUGCUAACCUUUUAUGUUGUCGUGCUUUACCCAUUACGAAUGAUAAUCCUCCUAAGGUUCAUUUUAUAAGAUGAACAUUUUCAGUCAAAAGUUAUUAAUAAUAUAAGUAUCCUUUUUGAAAAAAAAAUGUGACUAAUUAGAUUUCAUCUCCCUCAACACCUACUAUGCAUGAGCAGAAGAAAAAUAACAAGUUGGGCACUAUAUUUCAAAGGUAGACUCUCCUGAGGCCAUCGCCAUCAAUAUGAAUAGAGAGAUUUGUAAAAUAAGGUGACAUGCCCAAGUCUCCACUUCACCACCAUAGCCCAUGCCGCUCUCGUUGGGCCAGCUCAUAGUCUAAGUUAGGCCGCCCAAAUAGUUACUACUUGACGGUGCUUGUUGGUUGGCCCAUUCAGGCCCAAUGAGAGACUGAAAGUUCGCGGAGGAAUUAAUCAAACUAAGCCUGAUAUUUCCGCCCCUUGUUGUUUGGCCCAUUCAAUUCAGGCCUAAUGAGAGUGAAAGUUUGCGGAGGAAUUAAUCGAGCUCAGCUGAUAUUUCCGUCCUUUGUUCGUUUGGCCCUGCCGCGCAUCACAAAUUCACAAUCAAUUCAUUCGUUCAUUCCUCCGGAAACUUCACCCACCUAAACCUACCGUAACACCGUCGCCGGAAGAAUCUUCUUCUCAGCCUCAGGUAAGCAAAGCCCCCCUGUCCAUGCUUAUCUAGGAAUUUUUUCACCUUUCCCUGCUUUUUCGUUUUGUUGCUUGUUUCGACUCUUACGAAAAAAGAAUCACCAUAUAAUCGGCGGCGUAAUCGAUCGGAUCCAAUCAUAAUUGCCUACGUUUCUGUGGAUGAUAAAUUAGGUAUAGGGUUUCUAGGGAAAGACAGAAUGGAAAGGCAGAAGCUUGUAGGUAGGUUGAUCUCUUUGUUAUAAGUAUGAGCUUGUAGAUGGAUUCUUGAUUUAUGUCUUAUUUUACCUCUUGCUGUCUGGAGACCAUAUGGCUGCGGAGAUAGUGCUUUCCUUUUUGUGGCGUUUAAGGUGGUCUUACUUUUCCAGCUGAUAGUUGUAUUCAUUAGAAUAUAACUAGUUUCAAAGAUCCGUCCGUAUGGCAUCCAUUGGAAUGUUAUUAUUAUGGCUUAUCUUGUUGGUUUGAAUUGUUGUUUGUUUCGAUUUGUUUUAUUAUAAGAAAUUACUCUUCUUGAUAUCAUACAUCUGGAUUCAAGAGGCCAGUGGCUUUAACUUUGAUCCUAAUGGCUUGCUUAUUAUGUCAUUGUGUUGUUAUGUUGUUGCAGGUUUCUGAAAUUCUGAUAUUGCAUUCUAACCACUACCGCCUUCUGAUCCUCAUAUACCAUGGUAUGACUCCUUUACACAUCCUGAGAGAUAACAUACAUGUUGUAAUAUCAACUGGCUUGUUUUCUGUUUUGUCAAGUUUCUAGAUACAAUGAAUGGCAUGGUGAAUGGAGAUGCUCCUGACUCUAGUUUUGAGUUCCAAUUAAAUAGAUGAUGGUUAUCAAAGCCUCCUUAAGUAUUUUAGGUUUCUCUUGAAAACUUGAAGCAGUAACGUAAUUUUAGUACAGUGCGUCUGAAGCAGCUAGUUAUGAUGGGCUAGUAUCAUAAGAAUUGCUUUCCUGUGUUUAUCUUCAGAAGUGUUAGACAUUGCAUUUAGAGUUUUGUUGUUUCCUUGUCAUGAUGUGUGCAUUAUUAUUAUACAUGGAGAGCUUUGAAAAUUUUGUUAUGAAGAACUGUUUGUGUUUUUACUGUUUCCUUAAGAUUUUAUUCGUGUAUUUGUACAUUUGAAGUGUUUGUACUGUUCCCUUCAGAUUUUAUUCGUGUAUUUGUACAUUUGAAGUGUUUAUCUGCUUGGACUUUUGGAUGAAACUAGCAGCGAUAUCUGUUAGAGUAAUGAACUAGAAUAGAUAUUGCUAUUUGGUUUCUAAGUUUCAAGUUUGAUGUGAUUCAUAGUUGUACUGGAGAUGAGCCCCUGGAUUAAUGAAUUUGUUUGCUGUAUUUAAUAUGCUUGAUAUCAGGCUGGCAGACUUAUUGCAAACUUGAUUGUGGUGGGCGGCGGAGUGUUAGUGAGGGCUGUUGCCCAGGCAUAUCGUCAAGCACUUCAAAGUACGGUUAGCUUCUUUUUCUUUAAUUUUGUUGUGCUCUCUUAUCUAUCUUUGCUGGUUUAAGGUUGCGAACUUUGCGAUAAAAAUUAUAGAUGCAUCAAAGAAUGGGGUUGCACAAGAAGCAAUGCAGAACGUGAAGAGAGUAAGUAAGGGGAUGAGCGAGUCGGAAGCGAGGCAGAUUCUAGGAGUUUCUGAGAAUGCAUCUUGGGAGGAGGUUUUGAAGGUAUCAAAGUCGGUGCCCUGGAAAUAUGCGAGAUGAUGCUGUUGGGUAUAAAAUUGUGCGGACUACCUGAACAUUUUGUUGAAAUAACCUUGCAGAAAUACGAUGCGUUGUUUGAGAACAACGCGAAGAACGGCAGCUUCUACCUCCAGUCGAAGGUCUUCAGAGCUAAAGAAUGCCUAGAAAGCGCAGGCAAGAAGGAUGGCGGUGGUGAAUGAAUGAAUGUGCGUUUGGAAAUUUUACUCGUCUUCUGAACUGCAGUAGUUGCACAUAAAAUAGAAAGACGCGUGAAGCUAUAAAAAGGUUUUUACAGACCAAGACCAACUGUAACUCAAGGUCUGGGGAGUUGGAAUAUUUGUAUGAGAAAAUGAGUUAUGUAUGGAUCAUACUAUGUGUCCUGUGACAGUCACUGUUUCGUCUCUUCUUUAUGCAAUGUUUCUUCUUUAUGCAAUGUUUUUCAAAACCGUACCGGGGAUUAUACCGGAAAGGUUGGUAGUAGAAAGUUUAAUGGUUCAACCCAAAUGUACUAGUAAGUAAAAUAAUCUAUCUCAAAUAAAUAUUUAUUAAUAGUGUAAUAUCAACUAAUUAAAAAAUAAAUAUUCAACCUGUUUGAUGGACCAAACUGGUCAGUUGAUUGGUAUAUAUUUCAACUGGCUAAGUUAUUUGUCUCGAAAUGUUUGUCUAUCUCUUAUGAAGCCAAGAGUUGAACAGUUUUGUAUGUUUGAAAUGCUCAACGUACUUGCGACUCCAAUACAGCCAUGUUAUAUUAACACCCAUAAAUUUUGAUCAAAAUGAUUUUGGUACAGGCAUCAGAAAAACAAAACUCAGAAAACAAUCAAAUAAAUUACAUAUAGUUCUGUCCCGCCGCCACCGAAUGAUGUUUGGUCAAAUUCUUCUGGUCUAGUCGUGCUUUCCAAGCUGGUCCAAGCUGGCAACUGGAUUUUGAAAAGAGGAAAGAAGAAAAACAAGAAAAGAGUCCUGAUUCCAUCUUCACCCUCGAGCAUUAAAGGAGUGAUGAUCAAAUGGAUUCCACAUUUGCAAUAACAACUCAGCUGUUGGUUUCUGUGUGUAGGAUACCAGAGAUCAUGACUAUGGCUUCAGCUUUCUGGACCGCACAUAGGAUAGAAAUUGCGUCGGUAAUUCGGCUAGAAGUUCUUGCACAACAGACAUCUCUCCAUCUGCAUCACAGGAUGCUUCAUUAAUUUACUCAGACAACUGCUAUACAUUCAACAAAAAAGGGAAGUUAGUUUCUAAUCAGGUUUCAAGGAUGGAAGAUGUUCUUACUUUGUACGUCUCGCAUUGGUACGAACUGAACUAUAUCACGUGUAGCAACUCGACUAGUUGAGCUUUCAAGUCUUUCUCCUUUAUCACCAUCUAAAAUCUGAGCACACGAAAGCCGAACAGUAAUAAGAACUGAGAGUCCCUCACACAUGAUGGCUAGUGGUCCAAUUGUGAAAACUACGAACCUCCAUUUCUCUGAAGUCGGCUCCUCCAACACCUACAAUAAGGAUGGAAAGGGGAAGGUCCGAAGCUUGGACUAUGGCGUCUUUGGUUUCUUGAAGAUCUGUUACAACCCCAUCCUACCACAACAUCACACAAGUUCAGAUUAAUAAUAUUAUCAGUAUCUGGCUUCAUCAUCAUCCAGAUGUUUUAUGAUUCAUUCCUCACCGUUAUGAUCAACAAAACGAAGUACUUUCUCUCUCCAUUUUCGAGAGAUUUUUUUGCAAUGCUUGCGGCCUUAGUGAUUACGUGUCCGAAAAGUGUUGGCCCUGCAAGGGAAACAUUGUAGAGGGCAUUUGAAUAAGCCAUCAGAAUUCCAUGGAGCCCUUCCACCUGAGAACAAUAAAACUUGCCAUGCUUAACAAUUAUAACACAAACGGUAAAGUGAAAAUAUUAUUACAAAAAGGAGAAAAGGGAAAACGGACCUCAUGGUUGUAAUUACUUCCAUUCAAGUUGAAGCAAUGAGAGACAGGACCGUCAAUGGGCCGUGCUCCAAAUCCCCAUGCAGGAAAUCGUUGAUCUGAAUCGUAAAACUUCAACACCUCUCCAACCUCCAAGAUUGCCUGAAAUUGUUUGGCAGCUGUGGUGAUGUAGAUGACCAAUCAAGAGAAUACGGGAAGGGUUAAAUCAAAUAUGUAUUAAUAAGAUGCUGCUCGUACUCUCUGAUAUGCAUUUGGCCGAGUAGACAGAUCCAUAUUGUGGGAGGGAUCAAUAUAGUGCAAUGAAUCAGGGAGGCGAGGGUUUCCGUUUGAAGCUUACAAAUGAGAAGAACACACAGAAUCAGAACAUUUCACACCACCAACCAUACCAUCUAAAAUUACAGACCAUACAUUAUAGUCAAUAAGCAGGUACCUGUGAAGUCAACAGCCACCAUGAAGUUCAGUUCAAAUCCCCCUUUCAGGUAAUCUAGGAAGGUAUGUUGCGUACUUUCUGAAUAUUUGUCCACGAAAAGCUGGCUUUUUAAGACCUACAUUCAGAAAGCAAAGCAUUCAAAAAAUGCAAAAUAGAGUGAAGUUUAUUAAUCCUAAAAACAAUGGAUUUAUAAACAAAGAUGGUGUUUUGGAGUCGCUCCAUGUUAUAAGUACCUUACUACUUUGAUUAUGCCCAACUGCUGGCAAUACCAAAUUAAUUCCUUGAUUGAUAGAACAACGGUUUUCAAACUCUGCGAGUGGAUUUUGAGUUUGUCUGGCAAACAACCAAUGAAAAGGUUACUGUAAGUAUUUAUGCAUAUAAAGCUACAAAUUAGAUUUCAAAAGAAAGAAGCAAAGAUCUACUUGCCCAAUCAAAUCGUGUUUUCCAUUAUUAUUGAAGUUAAAGCAUUGUACGAGCAAUGGACUGUCCUGCAGGUUUUACGAUAAAAUAAUGGUGAGAAUACUAUUCCAAUAAGCAGUGGAUAUUGGUGAAUUUACAGUUAUCCCAACUUAGAUCUAAGUACAAGUUUCAAAUGCUAAAAAGAAAAACAGUUCCUCACUCUCACAAGCAAUGCCAGCAUUUUUAUCCGCAAAAACUUCUAGAAUUCCCCCCUACCGUGUGAUAAUUAAUUAUUUACAAAUAUAAACUUCUAGAAUUACACACAAAUGCUGAAAUGCAACAGAAGUACGAAAUUAACAAAAAGAAACAGAUGCAGCAGUGCCUUGCAAAAUUCACCAUGGUUCAUUGCAUCAAGCAAUCAAAAGUUCUACACCUCUUGAAAACUAGAUCAGGGAAAUGAAGCACUCAAUCUUAUGCUGCUUUGUAAUUGUAACUAUUUAAAAAUUAAAAUAGGCCACCACAAAAGCAACCGAGUACACACCUUGCUUCCAACUUGUUGAAUGUUCAAGCUAAUUGGUUUCCAUGUAGGGUUUUGAUUAUUCUUUAUGACCUCUGUUUUACAAACGGGAAUUGCUUUCCCACCCUCAACGACUCUUGAUAGUAACAGAAAAGGAUCCUGCAAUUGAUCCUAUGGUUUAGUAUAUCGUUAAUGUUCAAAAAUAUCAGAUAAAACAAUGAAAGAUGACUCAGUAGCCCAUACACUCUUUGAGAACAAAUCCUUGUUUUCCAAAUCUGAACACCUUAACGUCAUCUCUGUAGAAGUCUUUGAGUUAAUGCAUUCCUCCGCAUGCACAAUGAGCUGUCCAAGGCUUUUAGGAUGGCUUGGAUCUUCUAUUUGCAUAAGAUUUAAGAUCAAGUUCCUGUCCGGCUUGGUCACUAUCUAGAAGGACGACAAGAUAACGAGAAUAGUUUAAUUCUCACUGUGUCUUACUAAAUGCACUAGUUUAAGGCACCACUUAAUCUGGCUUUCAAGUUUCAUCUAUUAUUUCAAAAGUAGAAUAAAUAUAUAUAUCAGUUAUCAGCAAAUUUCUGUAAAACAGGACAAGUUAGCUACCUACAGUGGCCUUUAUGUUUAUUUAGAAAUGACAUAAUAUAUAUGAAAGAAGAUGAAAUGAAGAGAGCAGGAACUGAGGACUGGCUCUUAUAUUGUACCUGAGACAAUAUGGUGGAAGCUUCACCAAGAAAUUGCUGCUCCUCUAGCUUAAGCAUCUGCAAUGUUUGAUAAAAUUCCGUAUAAUGUGUUAUGGUUCUAGCUUCUAGUCUUGUCUAUGAGGCUCUCUAGUGCAACGUACAAUAGUAACCAUAUUUUAUGCUGUGAUGCGAGAGAAAAAGUUCUACAACAACUUGAAAGGUAAAUUGAAGCACUUUCUUAAGCAAAUAACUUUACUGGCUCUUCAUCACAAAGUAUAAUAGCCAGAUGAACUCAGUCUUUGAACGUGGUAUCAAAACAUGUGUUGAUAUGGACUGAACGAGAGAAAGUUACAAGUUUCAGCUUCCAAGAACAGAACAGAUACGGCUUUAAAAGUUUCAGCUUCCAAGAACAGAGCAGAUACGGCUUCAAAAUUAUACCUUCACAUCAACAUUGUGAAACUGAGUGUCUAUGUCAUACACAUGAAACCUGCAGUACAUUGUACACAUUAAUGUGUUAAUGUCAACUACCCAAGCAAAAGGAAUCUUUCAGUUACCAAUAACAUGAUGUAUAUUGUCAGGAUUGAAGAGACAAGUUGAACUUACACCAAAUUUUGAACAAUUUCAAACUGAUAUGUGACCGUACAUUUUGCAAUCCAAGAUGGAUUCAAUGAAUUAAGAACGACCUCGGUGCGGAAAACUUCAGUGAGGGCUCCAUCUCUUCCUUUUGUAUAAACAACCACCAUUGGGUCACUCUGAAGGAAGAAAACUUCUAGGUUAAGAAACUGAAGAUACAAAUCAGAUACAAGAAUCAAGGAAACUGCAGAAUUGCCCGCAACAAAUAUUAAGGAUAUGCCUUCUAUGAUGCAUCUGACAUGGUAAUUCCAUCGUCAUUGCAUAAACUUCACAAUCAGAAGUGCUAUACUAAACUAUCUCAUCUGUCUCUUUGGUCUCAAUGAAAUACCAAAAUGAAGCAAAAGCAUGAUAUUGUGUUGGAUAAGAAGAGUAGUCCUUCUUGGCCACAUUGUAGCCAUCCUUGUUGUCAAAAUUCUAAGGUACAAAUGUACGAUACUGACAAAUGAAACAUUAUUAUUGAGUUUAAAGCAAAUAAACCUAGCAUACAAUUCAGAGUUUCAAUUCGAUCUAUGAUUCCACAAACAUAACAUACUGGACAUACGAAAAUCAACGAUUGAAAAGUGCCCCGGGUUGACUGACCUUUGAAAUCAUAUCCCGAUCCCGCAAGUUCGUUGCGGAGAAAGAUAACUGCAAAAAAUAAGUAGCAACAAUGAUCAAAGUUGGUGUUAAUGACGGAGUACUAAAGUUACAGAUAAUUAGCUUGUCAUUCGUUCUUAAGGUCCCAAAAAAAGAAGCACAGAUAUAUAGAGCAAACUGCUUCAAGGAUUCAACGAGCUACGUUCUGAAGCAAACUUCACAUCUAACUAGAAAGGAAAGAGGAAACGAGUAGAAGAAAGUGGCUAAGGACCUCGAUCUGAGAGAAGAGUCCGUGGAAGCCUCGAUACCUGAGGAAUUCAUCGACCGCAUCAUUAGCACCGGCGCCGGCAGACGAAGCACCAGUGCCGCCAACUGCCGAUCUGCCUUCGACCUCAUCGGAGAAGCAGUUCCCCAUUCGUUACAAGUUCGUCGUUCUUCUGCUAAGCAAAACUAUCCAGGCCAAGAUCCUUAGCCAGCUGGAAACUGAGAAACGGACAACAAAUGGCGGAGUUCAGUUCGGGGAAGACGCAGAGAGGGAGAGAGAGAGCAUCCAAGGGCCAAUCGUGCGACGAGAGGAGCAGGUUAAACAGUGGGUGCCUACCUCUUCCAAUACCGAGCUUCAGUUUUUCUCUUUACUUUUGUUUUUUCAACGUUGCUUCGAAGACUAAAGUUGAACAAGUGGGCCCUUUUCUUUUUACAUUUUCCUUUUUGCAAAAUGGCUGGCCGCCGGCAGCGGAUGUCACCGUGUAGAAUUUUUUACUUUUUGCCGUUUUUACCGGAUCACAUUUUGCGGGAGCCGGGAAGGCUUCGAUUCAUGUGCUAAACCAACGGUUUCAAAUGGUAUGUACCGGCCGGUUGAACUAUAUACCGGUCAAUUAGCCGUUUUAAUGCAUUCGGGUUUGGUGGAAAUUGUAUUUUACCUUAUUUUAGCCGCUAAACUUGAUUGGUGAAAAAUAUGUGACAUGGAUUGAUAAUAUUAGUAGUGAAUUAAAGUAGGUGAAGAGUUAAAUUAUUUUGUGUUGUUGGUGUAAUUUGACUUUAACAAAAAAAAUUAUCCGAUAUAAUAUUUUACUAUAAAUAUAUAUUUAUUUUUAUUUGAUAUUACAUACAAUUCAACCAAUAUAACAUCAUAGUUGAAGAAUUAAACCUCAUAUCACUAAUUUUUUUGAAAUGGUGCCUAGUAUCGUUUUGAAAACAUUAGUUUCAACUAGUGCAUAAAACUUUGGUAGCCACCCUCGCACCCAUAAAUUGUUGAGUCAAAAUGUAUGGAAGGGAUGUUAAAUAAUAAGGGUUAUUAUUUGAUGAAACGACGCUCUAAAAUUUGUAAAUACAAUAUUAUUCUUGGUCGAUCGAGCCUAGGUUUUGAAUAAAACGACGUUUUAGACUUCGUAAAUACGAUAUUAUCCUUGGUCGGUUGAGCCCCUAUGCUAGCCAAAAUAGACUUCUGGUCUGGCCAGUCUAGUUCUUGACCGAUGGAUUUACAAGAUCAGCAAACCAGUUGAAGCAGUGAUAUGAUUGUACCGACUGGAUAACAUGAAACACUGAUUCGUUGUUCAAUUACUAUUUCAUUGUUUCAAAAAUUAAAUAAAUAUUGCUACCAAUGUGUAUUGAACCCACUUUAUGCAAAGCAAUAAUUAGAAGAUCAAAACAAUUUGACUAGCAUUAAUUUAUGAUAAAUAGUUGCAGUUAAUAAAUAGUUGCAAAAUUUAUUUACCACUUUUUAAUUGUAUUUUUUUAACAAUAAAUUUUGAUAUAACAUUCGUAUAUAAUUUAAUAUAUUACUUGUUUUCAUUUGUAUAAAAUUACGGCCGCACGCAAUAAUUAAGAUUCACAAGAACAGGAGAUCAAGCGGGGCCUAGUUGCAAAUCAUCGAGUUCAGACCGACCAAAAGGACGUCGAAGUGAAUAAAGAUACGUUAAUGGUUGUAGAAGGCUCGCGAAAAUUUUGAAUUGACGUGUAAACAAAAACGACAAUCGUACAACGAAAGGGUGCCCUAAACCCCAAACUAUAACCCUAGAAACCUAAAACACUAAAACCUAAACUCUAAAUCCUUAACCGUAGAACCCUAAAUCCUAAACCUUUAACCUUAAAACCCUUAAGCUUAGAACCCUAAAUCCUAAACCCUUAACCUUGGAACCCUAAACCCUUAAUCCUAAACCCUAAACCCUUAACCCUAAAACCCUUAACUCUAAACCCUAAAAUCCUCAACCCAUAACCCUUAACCUUAAAGCCUUAAACCCUAAACCCUAAACUCCAAACCUUAAAAUGGAAAUACAUCCCACGCGGAUUGCAUGGUUUUCUCAACGACGUGUUUGACGUUACCGAAUGGUCAUUGUUGGUUUAGUUGCAUUUCCUAUUUAGUCCACAACUGUGACCAAGAUCGGCAUUUGGAGAUGAGCACAGUUUAUGAACCACGUGACGGUUUACUAGGCAACUCGAUAUCAGUUCGUGUAUGACACACAAAGUUGGUCGACGUCCUCGAAAGAUUUAGUCCACUACGUUUAACCAAAUAAAACAAUAAUUAAUUACACAUUAAUGUUGUAGUGUAGUUUAUUUCGAUUAAAAUUUUCAUUAUACUAAACAAAGUUCACUUACUACACAAUUUUCUAAAAAAUCAAUUAUUAAUAAUCACAUUAUCAUAAUCUAAACUUAUAAAAGGAUUACUAAAUUAAUUACUAACUAAUCAAAUUAUGAAUUCAUUAAUUAUAUUUAGUAAUAGAUUGUCUAUAAUAAUUCAAUUAAUCAUUAAUAAUUAUACUAAUUAAUUAGCUAAAUUAAAUAAUUAAAAUUAAAAAAGGGAUAUGGGUUGGUUGGCCGCCGGUUUCGGCUAGGCGGGUUUCCGGCCGAAACCGACGGCUGGCCAGCCGAUAUCCCCCUUUUCUCAAUUUCGUACAUGAACAGAAGCUCCAGAUCUUCGAUUUGUCCUUCGGAUCUUCAUUUGAGAGUGUUUGAGUUAAUUGAUAUACACAAUUUCUCAUAUGGAUUUCGAUUUUACGAAAGGACACUAACGUAAUUUACUCUAUUUAGGGCGUUAUUUAAUUCAAAAGUUAGAGCGUCGUUUAGAGAUUCGAUAAAUAAUUUGCAAUUUGAUUGGAUUGGAGCAAAAGGUAGGUUUAAAGAGAUAUUGAAGGAGAAAAGUGUAGAAUUAGAAAGAUGAAGAAAAGUUGAAUAGACUCAAGAGUGAUUAGAUUGGGUCAAAUACGUCAAUGGUCACCAAAAGUUUCGAGUUUAUGACAAUAGAGUCACUCAUCUUUUAAAUCCAAUGUUGCACUCACCAUAGUAAUGAAGUAUGUAACGCACUAACGCAGCAAUACUUCUUUCUAUUCUUUACAUACUACUUUCAGCAAAAACGUUAGGCAGGCACCAGUCUUGUAGUCUCCAGCCAUGACAACAAAGCUCAUAUAUACAGACACGAUAGCUCGAUAACUCGUACAAUGUCUGACUGGUAUGUACAAAAUUAGUCGCUAGGAGGAGAACUUAAGCAAACCGCGCCAAAAUGUUCAUUCAUCUCAGAUUACGAUGGGUGGUAUUGCUGAUACGACACUGAAGAAAUGUGAGAGUUCUCCCCAGACUGUGUCGCAGCGAUUAGUGUCUGAGCUACUACGCCCUGCUGAUGGGGUUGAGUAUACUGAAUAUAUUGCUGCUGCUCAAGGGUGUUCCCUUGCUGCAACCCAUACACAUUGUUUCCUUGUGAUUGCUGAUACCCAUAGUUGUCUUGAUUGCUCCACUCGUAGUGUUGUUGGUAAUUGGGGAUAGUCUCCGCUACAGUUCCAGCUCCAUUACUAUGAAACGGCAAAAAAGACGCCAACAAACAAGGCAGCUUUUCAGUCUCCAGUAACAGUCUAACCAGAAUUUUCUAGGUCAACCAUAAACCGUUAAGAGGGCGAAUUUACCGAUAGUAAGGAUCCACAGGAGCCUCUGGCUGUUGGAUAACAGCAGAAUCAGGGUAACCUUGUUGCCCUUGUGGAUAAUUGUACUGGGUCAAUGAAGAUGGAUAAAAGUGUCGUUGAGAAGAAGCCUCGUGUGGUUGUUGGACUCUAUGCUCAAUAGUUUCAGUAUUAAUGGCAGGCUGCACAUAACCAUGCUGAAUAGUAGCACCGGAAGGAUUAUAUGGGUAAGGCAAAGUAGGAGCUGGUUGACCGUGCUGAUCUACUGAUUGGUGAGUAUAAUAUCCAUAUUGCUGGCCUUCAUCCAUCUGAACAGAAUACUGAGCAUCUGAGACAGCUGGGAUGUGAGUGUGACUAAAUUGGAACCUUUGAUCGUGCGUGUUUGAAAAAUGAGCAGAAACCCCAUUCUCCGUGGUUCUAUAGUAAUCAUGCUGUGGUUGCAUAUUAUUUUGCACUGAGAAAGGAGCAUCUGAUACUACUGCGCCAUUGCCGAGAUGAUUCCUAGUUUCAUGGGAGUGGAAAGGAGGCGGGCAUUGUUGUUUCUGGUACUGGCCCUCGGCAGGUGUAGUGGACAUUGCUAAUGGCAUAGAUUUGUGGGCCAAUGUAGAAGGCACGGAUAAUGAUCUCGCUCCAAAUGGUCGAAAUGCAGAUAAAAGGCCUUGUACCUGCAUAAUGACAUCAACAACUUACUCCUCGGAACAAAUUAAGAUUCUUGAUUGUAGAGUAGAAAUUGCAUAUAUAAGUACCAAGAUUUCAUUAGAGUUUUCUAAAAUGUUGGAAGAUUGAUGCGUCAUAACCAACUUACUUGUGUGUGACUUAGCUCUUGAGAAAAUUUUCCCUUCUGGUAGUUAUCCUGGAUUAUUUGUUUGAGUAAACUCUCAUGCAAAGGCAGACAAUCUCUGUCGAUACGGAAACCGACCUAGACAGAGACAUGAAAGAAAAAACCACAAUGAAGAGAAAUUAAGGUUAUUUCCCAACUCAGAAGGAAAAAGCAGGAUCUGAUCAAGUACAUACAUCAACUUUACAGAGAUAACUGUACAAUAUUGGGAAUCCGAGUACAAAAGGAAACUCAUUCUCAAGAAUGUCAUAAAAAAGCUGAAAUAUUACACCAUAUGUUAAUUAGUUUAGGACCUUUUUUGCAAUCUGGGGGUGGGGAGUAUUUCUUUAUAUUUCCUUGUUAAUACUAGUUUUAAUGUGUCUUAGUAGCAGGAGUGGUGUGGCGGCUCUCCUCCCCCCUAUCUAUCAAAAUCUCUAUUUCUCCAUCGUUGUUUCGGAAUGCCAGCAAUAACAAUCUCAUCUUGAUACAAUCACCGCAACUCUACCUCAUAUCAGGUUGGCACAAAGCCCCCCUCUCUCUCUCAAUUGGAGAGUAAGGAGAUGCUAACCCGCUGGAACACAAAGGAAUAAUUUAUUUCCACUGAAUCACAAGUGCAGCCUAACGUUUAUCAGCCUUAGGACUGUCUGAGUAGCAAUGCAAGUGGAUGGUCGACAAACAGAUAUUUUUAACCUACUGUGAGCUCCUGAAACGAGCUUGAUCAACAUAAAGAAUGGUUGACAACUCACCUGUGCAGGAAAAUUCCCAGAAAAUGCAGCAGGUUCCAAAUUCUUCAUCCCGCAAGUAAUAGCCUCAUACACACCGUAAAGAAGCUUUACGUCAAAAUCAAACAGGAAAAGUUUAGUUCCUGGCCUGAUCUUCUCAACAACAUUCAAUUUAGCUAAAGGAACCCCGAAUACUCGGUACUGAUAGCACUGCGGUUUCGUCUGCCUGUUACACAUGAAUAUGAAACCAGAGAUUGACUCCAGAUUUCUUGAUUUCUGUGAAGUAACCCCACGGACUUGGGAAGGAAGUGCAUGAGAUGUAUGGGCCAUUAGAUUACUCCCAUCAGUGGUCUCCAUUCUCCCAUUCACAUGUAGAUGACUUAUAUCUGUCACCAUUGCAUAACACUGGUCCUGCAGAGGAAUCAAACAUCAGUUUAUCAAUCCGAGCCACCGCACUGCUGCAAACAAAUAAACCCAGCAACCAUGAAGAGCAGUAGAGUAGACAAACACAUUAAGCAGCGACUUCACUACAUCGCUGUAACAGCAGAAUGCAAAGACAUCUGUUAACUAGUGUCUUGGAAUGGCUACAUGAUUCAUACGAUUCAUGGAAUUCCAAAUCAGAAGUCCUUUCAAGAAGAGAAAAUGUAGUGAAACCCUAACUUCCAUUUCCCAGGGAAGCUCCAAUGUAGAAUUACCGCAGAGAAAUCUAAACCAAAUUUGCAGGGUAUGUCCUUAUUGAAAGCAACUGGCAAAGCAAACAAGAACCAAUAUGGAAGCGUGAGCUUCAUGGAAUUAAAAUAACUUCCGAAAUGGAGUCUAUAUACGACACGCCGGGAUUGAAAAACUCUGUUAGAUCCCGAGAAUUCUUGAAUUGGCUUGUUAGCAUCGCAAGGCAAGAACGAAAAGCAAGAGCCGGAAAGUUUGUAACAGGAAACAGAAAUGGGAGUCGGAGAGUACAAAAUUGCUGUAGGCGGCGCUGCGGUAGAAGUUUAUGAGAUCGUCGGAGGAGCGGUUUCUGUGUGCGGGGGAGAGUAAAGCUUCCUACUAGUCUUCAAUUUCUAACGUCGCCCAAUAGAUCUCCGUGGGGCUCUGGCGAUUUUAACCAUCGUCGGGUAAUCUGUCAGAACUCAGAACCCGAGCUGAUCAAAUGGGUAAUCCGAGUUAAUCAAGUAUUUUUUACAGUGAGUAAUUAUUUUUUAUAGUAACAGAGUCUGAAAACUACACUUAAAAAACAGACCGUAUGAGCCUCUUGGCUUAGUUUCGUGGUAAAUAAGAAAAAUUCGAAUAUUCCAGUCUUUCUUUUGGAAUCUUUAGAAUUUAGGUUAGCAUGUUGGUAGUUCGUACGUGAUGUUCAAGUACCCGCGUAAUAUAUUAUUAAUAAGUUUCGAUAACCGUUCGUGAUCAUAGGUGUAUAUAAACUUGUAACUAGGAUAACAAACCACAUGUUACAAAUAAUCUAACUUUGAAGUAACAUCGUUCGCGUUUUCAAGAUCUAAUAACUAAUGUGUAAAGUUAUAAUUUUAUAAGAUGGCUAAUAUAUCAACUCUAUCUAUUAAGUGUUUUCAGAUUUAAAAUUUUGUUGCGUCGACAUAUUUAAGAAAUGGAGCCUAUUUAGNNNNNNNNNNNNNNNNNNNNNNNNNNNNNNNNNNNNNNNNNNNNNNNNNNNNNNNNNNNNNNNNNNNNNNNNNNNNNNNNNNNNNNNNNNNNNNNNNNNNNNNNNNNNNNNNNNNNNNNNNNNNNNNNNNNNNNNNNNNNNNNNNNNNNNNNNNNNNNNNNNNNNNNNNNNNNNNNNNNNNNNNNNNNNNNNNNNNNNNNNNNNNNNNNNNNNNNNNNNNNNNNNNNNNNNNNNNNNNNNNNNNNNNNNNNNNNNNNNNNNNNNNNNNNNNNNNNNNNNNNNNNNNNNNNNNNNNNNNNNNNNNNNNNNNNNNNNNNNNNNNNNNNNNNNNNNNNNNNNNNNNNNNNNNNNNNNNNNNNNNNNNNNNNNNNNNNNNNNNNNNNNNNNNNNNNNNNNNNNNNNNNNNNNNNNNNNNNNNNNNNNNNNNNNNNNNNNNNNNNNNNNNNNNNNNNNNNNNNNNNNNNNNNNNNNNNNNNNNNNNNNNNNNNNNNNNNNNNNNNNNNNNNNNNNNNNNNNNNNNNNNNNNNNNNNNNNNNNNNNNNNNNNNNNNNNNNNNNNNNNNNNNNNNNNNNNNNNNNNNNNNNNNNNNNNNNNNNNNNNNNNNNNNNNNNNNNNNNNNNNNNNNNNNNNNNNNNNNNNNNNNNNNNNNNNNNNNNNNNNNGUCACGGAUAUAAUUGAAAUCAUGACCAAUUGAUUACAUUUUCAAUUAUAAACCAUGACUAACCUCUGUCUGUCACGGAACAAAAUUGUGACCCCUUAGUCCCGGAUGGUAUAGUCACGGUUCUUUCUUAGGUGACUAAUGUAAGUAGUUGAAANNNNNNNNNNNNNNNNNNNNNNNNNNNNNNNNNNNNNNNNNNNNNNNNNNNNNNNNNNNNNNNNNNNNNNNNNNNNNNNNNNNNNNNAUUAGAAAUAGAACGAUAUAUAACAAAUCGAUCUUAUUAUGUGGAAUCAUUCUGGUUAAAGAUUAGAAGGGUAAGAGAUGGUUAUGUUUGAAGGAAUGUAGAAUGGAAACUGAUUUAUGUUUUUUAUACAGAAAAUAAAUUCUUAAGAAUCAUAAGAAUCCAAACAUAACCAUCUUUUACCCUUCCAAUCUUUGAGCCAGAAUCGGGAUUUUUUUUUUAAUUCUAUGAUGGUUAUGAGAUGGUUUUUUAGGGGUAAGAGAUGGAUAGAUGGUUAUGUCGGGGGAUUUUUAGAUUAUUUUUAUUUUAUAAAUUAGAUAGAAAUUGAUUAGUAAUUUUUAAUAGGUUUUCACGGUCACAUAUCAAUUUUAAUAAUUUAUUAAUAGAUUUUUAGCUAUUGGUAAGUGAUGUGCAAGGUGAUGUGGCAUUAAAUAAAUAAUUGUUAGGGAUGGAGAAGUCUAAAUGGAAAAAAAUUUAGGCAAUAUUAAAUCGGAAAUGAUGUAGAUAAUCAAAUCUAAACCUUAAUUACACGAAAUGGCAAUCCUGGCCACUUACAUUGCGUUGAAGAAUCUUGAAGCUUGUUGUAAGACUCCUCCUAAUUGUCAUAGGUCAUCUUCAUAGCUCUCUGCUUCCCGUACCACCCCUUUCUCUACGAGAUCUGACGUUGGAAAAGGUGUGGAAUCUCAUCUUGGAUCAAACGGAUCAGAAAGUGUGGCCUUGACCGGACAAGGUGCAUCACCGCAUCCACGAUGACAUUCACAUCUAGUUCGAUAGAUUCUACUUUGUGCUCGCUUCCGUCACAUGUGUGUUGUGGAUUCCACUGCUGACCCGCCCAGAACCCAUCACCUGCGCUGCCGGUGACGCGUAACCUCCAUGGACAGUUGUUAGUUUUGUGAGAAUAACACAUGACCUCCAACUCCCAAGUCUUUGAGUGAGACGUCGCCAGGGCUCGAUUGUUAUGCAAUGCCCAGUGUUUUACGGCAAAACUUGCCUCCUUCUUCGUGUAAAACCGUCGGUCGAUGUAGAAAUGUUGACGGGUGGGGUCAAAAUCCGGGAUCUCAGGGCAACCCUCAUAGUGGUCAGCAGUCAUCAUCUUGUUGAUGUUAUCGCCCAACGUUGUGUACAGCUCGGGUGCCGUUAUAGGCCACCUACAAUGCGCCGCGCUUCGUAGGAUGCACCGCGCGUUGUAAGUGGCUGAGUUUGUCAUUUCGUGUAAUUAAGACUUCGAGUUGAUUAUCUACGUAAUUUCCGAUUUAGUAUUACCUAGAAUUUUUUUUCCCUUGUUAAAUUAGCAAUGCCACAUAGGUAAUAAAACAAGUUUCAAGAAGAAAACAUUUAUGAUUGAGAAAUACAUUUUUUUUAUUUUUGGUGCACAAAUAUUGUUAAAAAAACUUAAAUAAUUUUUAGAAAUUGUUAAAGGAUUGUAGGGAUUGAGAUGAUUAGAAAUUGAUUAAUAAAUUAAUUGCUAAAGUUGACGAUUUGACACUAACAAAUUGUUAAACAACUUUUGGGAUGGAGAUGAUCUAAUCACCUCUAUCCCUAAAUUUGUUUAGCAAUUUCUAAAAAAAUUAAUUCUGUUAGAAAAAAGUGUUUUUCGCUUAUGUUACAUUGUUAAUAUAAAUGCUUUUCUUAAAAAAUCGGUUCAAUUAUUUACGUGGUAUUGUUAAUAAAAUUGCUAAUUCAGUAAUUUGUAAUAAAAGUUUUAACUUAGCAAUCAUUUUUCCAUCACUAACAAUUACUUAUUAAAUACUACAUUAUUCUCCACAUUAUUUAGCAAUUAUUAAAAAAAUUAUGGAUGGAGAUAUUCUUAGGAUUGUUAAUUUAAUUCUAUAAAAACGAAUUCAUGUUUUUAUGUGGAAAAUGAAUUUCUGUACAAUGGCCAUGAAAUGAAGCUCACAGCACUUUCCCUUGAACGAAAUCAACCCAACAAAAAUCUUAUACCCAUAUUCAACAUGUCUAUGCGUUUUUUUAAGUAAUGCGUAUCGUAUAACCAAUGAUCAAGUGUUUGCCAAAGGGACCUUACCUAAAGCGAUUGUAGUCGAGAUAAGGGACCGCUUAGCUAAUGCAUGGGCGACCCCUGUUCAACAUGCCUAUGCUAUGCAUCUCUAAGUAUAUAGACUCCUGUUCUUUAGUGUACAUACAAAAUCUGCCUUGGCAAGCCCGCAAGAUAAGUGUUCCAAUGUCUAAAGAUCGAAAGAGGAUGGCUAAUUCAACCUCAAUGAACCUGACUAUAUCUUGUGCAAGCCAAUGUGGAGAUCAGAAGAGAUGGAGAUCAGUAGACGCUGAGAGCAAUGCCACUCGGCUUUGAAGACUCGUUUCUGAUGAGCUCUUAUUGAUUGCGAUGGCUUGUGACCGUUAUACCUGAUGUCGAAUAUGUGGAUUACAGGAUCAACCGACCCGGACGAGAGGUACAAUCCGUCGUGAGACCAACCUUGAUUAAUCAGAGCCGAUUGUGAGUCGCUGCUUUGUUGUUUAAACCCGAAUGUGUGGAUCUCGGUCUGCCUUAGUCGGAUAUCGAAUAGUCUGAGCUGCUUCUCUGGGGUCCUGUGAAAGAAAUUGAAAGUGGUCAGGAGCUUUCAAUUACUACACUGCAGCUGGUAGCCCCACAGCAAAAGAGACUUGGCAGACAAGUCAGAGAAAACAAACAGCAGGUAGAUUUGGCAACAAGAAUUAUAAUUCAAUGGAAUCUUAAGUUAAGAUAUGUGAAAAAAGGUUGAGUUGUAGUUAAAAAGGGUUGUGAAAGAAAUUGAUUUUGAAUAUGACGAAUUCCUAAAAAAAUUUAAUUUUCAUUUGAGUAGAUUGGGAAACAUAAUUUCACAUGAAAUCCUCGUAUCCUUAUAUCCAAAUUUUCUUCUACAAUCCCUCCCAACUCUAACUCAUCUUUUUUUACCCUAAUUUCAACUCAACUUUUUAUGGAAUCAUGAUUCUUAUUGCCAAAUCUAAUCUAAGGCUUGGUUCGGCAACAUGAAUCAUAAUUUUUAAGAAAACUUAGAAAUAUUCAAUAAAGAAUAGUGAAAGAAAGUUGAGUUAGAAUUGGGAGGGUUGCAAAAUGAAAUUUGGAUUAAGAAAUAUAAAAAUUCCAGAUGAAAUUGUGUUUCCCAAGCUAUUCAAAGGGAACUUAAACUCUCCUAAAUUUUUUUCAUAUCUCUUAAUUAAACAUUCCGUCCACAACUCUCUUCCAUCUUCAACUCAACUUUCUUUCAAGCCUAGCAAAUGCAAAGGUAAUGAAUGUUCAAGGACUGAAGUGUAUCUUUUACCCUGUUUGAACCAUAUAGAGAUUGAAGUCGGCCGGAUUAGGCAACACACUCAUGCAUUUGCUGUCCACUUGAUGCUUAAGUUCUACUCUCCCUGCUUGGACAUCGAAACCGAUGAUUCUCUUGUCUGCACCAGCAGAAAGUACAAUCUGCUUAUGAUGCAUCCCGGCUGCCCCCAUAACAGCAGAAGAAUGAAGGUUCCUGUGCAAAGCCUUUGGCUUCCAUGACUUUUCAGAGUCCUCAUUCCAAGCAACAACGGCGUGAUCACUGCCACUGGUGACGAAAAAGGGAUCUCCCCACGGCAUAAACAUUACGCCAUUUACGAUACCCUUAACGUGAGGCUUUUCUUGUAGAAAAGUUACUCGGCUUUUCUGCCAGUACAAAGAGUUUAUGAGUGACAUAAGCAUGAUGACAUAUGUAGGCAUGUGUAUAUCUAUAAACAAAACUAGGCACGUGAAUUUUUACAGAAGAAGAACAAUUUAGUAUGAAAUAUCAUGCCAGAGUUCAUACGUCAUGUUUGCUAUUCAGAUCAAUAAUUGCUAUCUGAGAGUCGCCACUAUCAGCAGUGUAAGUGGCAACCAAGCUGUUUCCCGAUGGGUGCCAUGCUAUAUCUUCAGGCCACCGUCUGGUUUUCGGAGAAAUGCACUCAGUUGUGUUAAGAAGAGAGGCACUUGACCUGGCAUUUGAAAAGAUAGAAGAAACCCGCAAGAAAAACUUCCUCAGAUGCACACUUAUUAAUACUUAAAAGACGAGAGCAUAAAGGAUCAGAUUUGAUUCAGUAACAUACUAGCUAUAUCAACAGAGUAGCAUAGACAUAACAGGAUAAAAAUGUUUCACUCACGACGAAGCCUGCAGUUGCCACAAAUUGACCAGACCAUCCAAAGCGCUGAAAAUGUUCCAAACAUAAAAGACGUUAAUAUGACAAAAGCAAUUACAAAACUUGCAAAAGAAAAACAAAAGAUUGGACGAAUCAAAAAGAUGAAAUGUGAGCAGUUCACCUGGUAACGAAAAGUUGAUCAUUCACUGGACAAAGUACAAGACUUCUCAACUUUCUCUUGUGCUGACUAGAAAUGUGAUUAUUAGCAUGGCAAUAAAUUGUUUGUGGGGAAGAGUUUCUGCAUACCAUUGGAAUCAAUUCCGUGUGUUCUUUCUGUUCUGGGGACAUGUUAUGACAUAAUCCAGUAAAUCUCAAAUGCAAGUAAUAUGUUAGCAAAUGAAUACACGACGAUAAACGAUAAUCUUACCACGUCUCCUCUUUAUUCCUUUAUCCUGGUUCUCAACCGUACGACUUCUAUCCGACUUUUCCGCUUUUACUUUCGAAACAGUAUCAGUGCGGUGUGAAGAACUCGUCUGAGCACUGGAAUGAACGGAUAUCGUUGCGCCAGAGCCUCCUGAUUGUAGAGUCUUUGGAGUCACAGCAGGGAUAACAAGUUCAGUCCUAGUCUGAGUUUGAUUCCCUGGAGAACUUUCAUUAACACGAACGGAACUAGUUAAGCUGUUCCCCAUCUUCAAUCUUUUAGUGUCAUACUCAAGAGAAGUAUUCUGUGGCAUGGUACCUCUCUUGAGACGAGCCAAUUGUGAUUUUGACGUUUGCAAUUUCCUUUCUGCAUCCUCAAGCUGCAGAAAGGAAUAAUCCAAAAGUUAGUCCACCAAAAUAAGACUGCCAACCAAAGAUAAUCGCAAGCAAUGUUAAGUAACCAAGUAUGGCAACAGUCUGUUCAUUGAAAAUUCUACAUAUAAUGAUAAUGUAUAUGAUUUCUUUGUUUUUCUUGUCAGUAAUUUCAUUCAAGUUCCCCGUAAUUCCUAGCAUCAAAGCAGGCACAAAAGCACAUUAAUAUCAAAGUAACACAUUAGAAUGAGCUUAAAGAAUGAAAAUCAAGCCUUCAACAAAUGGCGAAAUGCAAUCAUCAUCACCAUGCGGGAAAGCAUUAUCUCUCAGAAAUCUUGAAAAAGAAUGUUACGGGAGAAUGUAAUAACUAAACCAGAACCUGAGAGGUGUAGUAAUUGAUACGCUUCUUCAGAUGUUCAACUUCACGAGUACGAUGUUCGAUUAGCGCCACCAACGCGGACUCUUCCUCGUCGUCCGUGGUUUCUUCAUUAUCAUCAAAUUCUGCUCCGCCUCCUCCGUUUUGCUCUUUAACCGGAGACUUGUUAUUCCGCCGCCGUACUGAUUCGCCGUCGUCGUCGUGACCUUGCUCAAGUUUCGGCUUCUUCAGAAUAGGUGUAAUCGGGCUCAUUUUUCAAAUCUCUUUCAACAAGAACCGGCUGAGAAUCUGCUCUGCUGUCGUGUUCUUUCCACCAACUGUACCGCCGCGCUGAAAACCUACUAGUAUUUCCGAGAUCAAGGCGCUUGGAAGUGGGCGAAAUUGCUAUGGGUUUGAGAGCCAAUUCUGUAGGAAGCAUCGACAUUCGAUCCAACGAUUAAGAAUUAUUUUCGUCAUUUUUAAUCUGACGGUUAAAAUUUUAUCAUGUGUAUAAAGGGAAUUAAAAAAAUAUUCUCUCUCUUUCAACUUUUCUUUCUCUUCUCUCUACUCUUCUCAUGUAAACUGGAUAUAACAAUGACGUAACAAUGAUAUAAGAUUUUUCAUACAAAGUCGACAUAAUGAGUCUAUUAAAAGGACAUAAUUAAAAAUGCAUAACAUACUCAUAAAGUAUAUAUAUCACCGACAUAAUAGAGUUCUAAACUGGACAUAACGAUGAUGAAUUCAACUACUCGUAAGGUGGACGUAACAACGACAUAAUAAAAGACGCAUAACAUACUCGUAAAGUGUAUAUCACCGACAUAAAAGAGUUAUAAACUAGAGAUAACGAUGAUGAAUUCACCUACUCGUAAGGUGGACGUAACAACGACAUAAUAAAAGACGCAUAACAUACUCGUAAAGUGUAUAUCACCGACAUAAAAGAGUUAUAAACUAGAGAUAACGAUGAUGAAUUCACCUACUCGUAAGGUGGACGUAACAACGACAUAACGAGCCCCAAAAUAGUGCAAAAUUUACCUUACAAUUUUUAUCAAGAUAUUCUCCUCUUCAUAGUCUUGCUUUCCGUGUGGGAGGUUCUCAAUGUAGUAUCAAUGAAUGCUAUGGUUAAAGGUAACGUCCCGACUGGACAACAUGCCAUUCAUCAUCUCCAAGCUAUUCCCAGUUUGGUAACAAAAAGAUGAUACUUUUUCCUUGGACCCAUCCACACUCAUCUCUUCCCCCCUUCAUCCAGAAAAACAAAACCCAGCAGAGAAGGGGAACAAAAAAGAGUGACAUUUAGAUUACAAAGCAAAAGAGAAAUGAAAAGUGAACUUGUAUACAGAGAGUGAGGGCUUUUAUAGAGCUCACAAGACUAUUCCAAAAAUUAUGCGCCUUUUCAUGGUUGACAAAAAGCCUUAGCUUCCCCUCUAUAAUCCUUUUCCCCAACUGAAGGCUUUAAUACAAAUAUGUUCAAAAGGGUUACAAAUGAAGAAGCACCCACCCCGCCAAAUUACAACAUCAAGAAAUAAAACAAAAAACAAUAGGACAGAACAGAGUUUCUGUUCAAAAGUACCCUCUUGGCCAUUCACAGAACUUCGAUGGAAUGGAAAAAACCCGGUCGUCUCUGUUGAAAUGCCAAAAAAUAGAUAAGUCACCUCUAGUGUACAGAAUCGUAAUGGGGGGAUCGAUCGAUCUUCGUAAGGAGUUAGAGUUCGCCUUAAGACCCAAGCAAGCAAGACCUCAGUCAGAAUUAGAGGAUGUGUCCGUUCCAUCCAUGUUUGCGGCCGAUGAUGGGCUCCCUUGACGGUGGUGGUGGUUCCCUUCGUGGCCGCUGGUUCGUGGCCUCCCCAUUCUCGACCUAAUGUUCGUACCCAUGGGGAAAGGCUCCUACAUUCGCACAGACGUAAAAAAAACUAUCAAUCUAUGUGAUGUAAUAAUGAAAGAAAGCUGUCCUAUUUUCGUCAAAAAAUAAACAGAAAUCAUACCGGAUCACCAGCAUUUGGACCUUCUGUGUGGAACAGUAUAGGCCGACAACGUUUAUCCUCAUUCAUCAAGCUCGAAUUCUGGAAAUGGGAAAUAAGAGCAGCCUUUCCUUGAAUCCGAGCAUAUGCCAAAGAUGCCACCUUUUCACUGUUGAACUUCUCCCACUUUUUCCCAUUGAACGCCUGCAGAAAAGAAAAGCCGUAUAUGGUUAUAUCUGUUAGCUUUACUAGCACUCCGAAAAGAAAUUCAGUAAGCUCUACCGACCUUAUGGAAUGGAAUGAUCUGUUGCGGAUCAGUCAUGUUGAUGAAUGCAUAACCCACAUUGCAUUUAUUCUGUUGAACAAAAAAAAAUCUUUGUUAAUGGGGGGUCAGUUUGACAAAGAAGCAGCAAAAGGACAGGAGAUGAGAUAACUUGCCUUGAAGUCGAUUGGCAGAUAGAGAAAAUCAUAAGAUCCGCGGCAGUACUCAUCAAUUGCAGCAAGAAGCAUCUUUGAAGUGUACCUGUCAAGAGAUUUAAAAUUGAUUGGUCAAAAGGAAGCCUGGAAAAUCAUAAUGCUUGAACCCAGUUCAAAUGGCUUAAAAGAUUUUGUACAUACUUGUUUGGAAUGUUCUUUAUCAUCAAUGUGGUCCGGCUAUCUUCGCCACGUGCGAUGCGCUCAAUAUCAAGUUCAAACUGCUUCUUAUCUGACUGAUUGGAGUUGGAUUCCAUUCUGCGAUGUGACAAAUUCCUGACGCGGUCAUUCGGAGAAUCAAAAGAUGAAGGCAUUGAAACCAUUUGGUUUCUUCCAGGGAAAAGGUGGCACAUUUGCUGAGGUGAGCGUAUCCCAGCGGCGCUUUUUGUUAUGUCAACACAAUUGUUAUUAACGUGCGGGAAAAUGUUCUCCAUAGGAUGUGGUGGAGAGCUACUAGCAAAUCCCCCCAUGCUUCCGAGCGAACCCAAAUGGAAGCUGGAAGGGUCUGGAGAGUCCCACAGGGACUGGUUGACAGCUGGCGCAGAGCCAACAUGGUGGGGUGCAGGUCCUCGGCUCAGCAUCCCGGUAGGUGCCCUCGGAAGUCCAUUGAGAUGAGAAAGAGGAUGAGCACGAAUACCGUUGACAAAGGAUCCAGAAUUAGGCCACAUCAUGAGAUUAGCCGGCUUUGGAUGAGCAGAGGUGGAAUUGUUCCAUGAAUAAUGACCAGGGACGCUUCCGUUUCCAGGAGAACCGAAACCAAAAGAACCUAGGGAAAAAUUCAAGUCAGCGGUCACAUUGAUGUAUUCUCCAUCAACAUAUGAGGCAUCUACCUCAUAGUCCAUAGUUCACAAAGUCACAGUAGUAGUAACUAAAAUGCAGCAUAAACGAGGCGAAGAGAACAUACCACGACUAUUAAGUUCCAUCAUGUGCACAUUAGAGGAUACUCCACGACCAUGCCUACCAUUAAUUCCCUCCAUUACUUGCGAACCAACACUACCAGCCAUGCCUCCUAGGGUGCUUGCAGAGUUGUAGGGAAUUCCAUUUGUCAGACCAUCAUGGUACUCUGGAAGCGAAUGAGGAUGGAAAGUGGACAUGCUAUGAUUACUAAAACUAAUUUCCUGAAUGGAACGUUGGUGAUCAGGGUGGCUGAAUUGCUUGGCAACUGAUGCUUCUCGAGACCGUAGAUGAUUCGGAACACUAGAACUCCGAUGAGGAUCAAUAAAUGCACCUAUGGGGGAAUGCGCAACCUGGGAUGGUAUGCCAUCCAUGCAACUGGAUGUCAUCACUCCAGAAUAUGCUGCUGCACAUAGUUUUUUUAUAAAGAUAAGAACACUGACUAAAGCUCUUUUCUUAGUAUUUUGCAAAAAGACUGAAUAGAACUUACCCAUUUGCAUAGAAGACAAGUCGUCAAUUUGACUUCCAAGACUGGUUUCAUCUUGCCCCUGCACUGACCUGUAAAAGGAACUAUUCUACAUCAAACCAAAAGCGAAAACUAAAAGGAACAAACAAAAGUCGGCUUCCUGUGAAGUAAUCAAACACUUGGAAAAAAUCUUUGAAGUACUUAUCACGGUAGCAUGCAAAAGCCUAAUGGACAUUGGUCAACGGAAAAUCCAGUGUUUGUAGUUUUGUUAAAUCAAGAUUGAUGCUGAAAGGAAAAAAUUAAACAGCACAACUAUGAGUUGAGAAUACCGUCUUGCAGCACCCAUUGUGCCUGCUUCAAGUUUAAUCUGCUUCCCAGCAAUCUCAGUUCUAUCUAAGGCGUUGAGGGCAGCUUCUACAGAUCUCACAUCAUAGUACUCUAUGAGUACAUGAUUAUGCUUAUUUUGGUUGCCAUGGACCUGAAACCCAAAGAUACAACUGUAAAUAUCUGCUGCAGGCAGUUACUUCUGAUAACGUGAAACAGCACUGAAUCCACAAGAUCACCUCUUUGAUUUCUCCAUAAACAGCAAAUAUCUGCUGAAGCUCAUCUGUUGAAACAGAGGAAUCAAGGUUGAGAACUGUUAGGAUUCCUUGGUUGACAUCUUUGUCUGAUGGAUUCUCCUGAUAAAUUAACAGCAACAAAUCAGUAACAAAGUUCCCAAUGAACAAAGCAACUGCUCCAGAAAGCCCAAAUAGUAAUUAGCACACAAUAACCAGUUACCUUUGGAAUUGAAAAGUGUAUGUCAAGUUUUCUACGUCUCAGAGGCUUAUGUUGAAGUGAUUGCAUCGCAUUUUGAGCAGCUCGUAUAUCAUAAUACGAGAUCAUUACAAAUCCGCGAUGCUUGCAAGUUGUGUACAAGGUUCGUAUCUCCCCAUAUUGCUGAAAGAAAGAAUGAGAAGGUAAGACUGGCGGGAUGGAGGGAAAAACGUCAGUUACAUCAUGGAAGAAAAAUUACUGGAAAAGGAAUAGCAUGCACCUCAAAGAGUGUUUUCAAUUCGGAAUCUUCCACAUUACUGUUGAUGUUUCUAACGAAAAGUGUUCUGGAAGGCAGUUCUCCAAAGGGGUGUUUACUAGUGAUGGAACCACUAGAAAGUGCAAACAGAUCAGCAUUUUUUCGCCCAGCAAUGAUAUCCCCUUCUAAUUCCAUUCCUCCCCCACUGCUAAAAAGAUCAAAAUCUUCUAAAUCAUCUCCAACAGUGCCGUUGACAAUACUCCCCAAGUCAUUAGUGAUGCCAGAAAAUAGAUCAUCGUCAGCAGGGAGAAGAUUCCCAAUAGUCUGUGCCUCAAUUUCUUCAAGAGACUCAAAGGGCUCUUCCUCAAGAGCAGAAACAGCAACUUUUGUCGGUUCUCGAGAUUGAAUGUCAUUACCCAUUAACCUCACUGCAGAGCAUCCAUGGAACAUAUAGUUAAGCAUGUGGAAUAGAUUUCUAUUGCUAAGGUGAUAUAUAAGAGGCAAUGAAAUGAUAAAAAGAUUUAUCCCACUAAGAGCGUACUUUUCCUAUUGAAUAUUUCAGAAAAUGAGCUUGAGAACAAACUGCUCUCCCACUCAGUCCCAGUAAUAUUAGCUCCAUUUUGGCGCAAACUAUGAGCUGCUGCAGGGUGUGAUGACAAACUAGACCACGACUUUGGAUGGUGAUCGACAGAAUUCCAUCCAGCGUUAGAUGUCCCUUCCCCAUUGCUUAAUUUUCCAUUACUAGGUCUAGUGACGAUUGACCGAGGCAGUUCCAUUGACAGAGCACUAGCUGGCGAAAGGGAAUCAAAGGGUGACGAAGCAACAAAUUUGUUUCCAGGUAUCGGCAUGGUUUGAUGUCCACCUACAGAAAGAGUCAAAUUUCAUAAGAAAAAAGGUAGAGAACGCCAUCAAACACAAAGUGUACCUUGAUACAGUUCAGGAUAAAAAUGUGAUUGAAAUGACCCCGCACCUUGGUGGUGAUCCGUCAUUGCAUAUGGUUUCCUAAACCCAACUUGUCUCUGCACGAUGAAAACCACCAAAGAAGUGAACAAAAACAAGAUACAAAUCAGCCGGAGAUUCUUGAAAGCAUAGGAAAAAAUGGAUACCUCGGCAGGAAGACAAAUGUCCUCAAAGAAAUGGGAAGAAGCAGUAACACCCCUUUGAUCCAUGAUCUCAAACGGCAUGGUGGAGCUGAAAAAAGUUAGAUAUCAGAAGCUAUCCACAACUGGCAACAUAACAAGAACUCAGUUAGCUUUCCCCAGUUGAGACAAAAAGGUGGGGAGAGAGAUCAUAUGUUCAACAACCAACACCACAGAAAACUCAAACAAAGACAGACGACCCAGAAAAUGGGCAGAGAGGAUAAGGAAAGGACGUGUCCAGAUCAGCAAACGAAAUUAAUAGAGCGGCAGAUCAUAUAUAACUUUAACUUGUGAAAAACGCACAGCAGUCACUGAAUUGUAGCAAAAGGGAGAAAGAAUAC